rnacentral:lncRNA from 1 species
UGCCGGCAGGUUUGUGUAGGAUACCCCUUGAUCCACACUUCACUUGUGCGCGUAUGUAUGUAUGGGGACAUGAAGUUGUUGGGUCAGCAUCCACCAACAACCUCUCUAUCUUUCCACACCACGUUGCCUCAGUUCCGAGCGUUCAUGCAAACCGACACCUCCAAGCCCGUGCUGCCCAACUGGGCCAACGUCGAAACUGCCAGCGUGUCCGACCCGUCCUUCAUCACCGCCACGUCCACCUGCGGCUGCACACCCACCAACCCCAGCGGCCAGCCAGUGGACCUGAGCAUCAGACAGCAGGGUGGCGCCGUGGAGUUCAGGUGCGUACGGUCGAGGAAAAGGGUAUAUAUGGAGGUCAGUACGAGGUCAUGCGGGUGCGCAUCUGCCAACCAAGUAGUAGGCGCGCGCGCAUACGCACCCCAGCCGCAACCUCUACCGACCACCGCUAAUCGUGAGGAUCGUCUUGGUAACUUGACAACCUUACCAACAACGCCUUGCCUAUCACACCCAAUGCCGCCACCCCCCCUUCACAGCUGGGUGGUGGGCUCAGCCUGCGAGAGCUCCGUGUCCAUCACCCGCAGCCUUGUGGAUGAGGUGAACAAUGAGCUGCUCAACACCACCACAGUGGCGCAGCUGUCUAUCGGCCUGGCCUGCGGCACAGCGUACCGCCCCUCCAAGGCCGAGGUGGAUGAAGACAUCGCGCGUGACAAGCUGCAGGUGCGUGUGCCUGCGUGCGUGUGUGGUGCGCUUCUGGAUGGGAUGACUGCAUGUAGGGAAUUGAAGGGGUGAAGGAGGACUCGGGUACGCAUGCGGGCUCAGCAGCAGCUGGCGCUUUGAUGGCCUGGCUGGUGGGCGAAAGGGCGCCGCACGCAGCCCUAUUUUACUUCAUGCAUACUUUGCGUGUGUGGCCUUUCCGCUGGACACUGCCGUUGCUUGGCCAUGACCGGUUGCAGCUGCAUGUGUGCCCGUGCGUCCUUACUUCCUCCGCGUCCCCUACCUCACCAGGUUGGCCGGACGUACCGCUACUGCAUCGUGGUCACCUCUGCCGCCACGUCCACCUACUUCCUGGACGCGACCAAGCCACUGGAGCCCAUCCGCUUCGUAAGCGAGCCCAUUUGCCGUGACGUACGCAUUCAGUGGACCUCCACCAUCACCGGCGAGGUAAGACCAGCCCAGCUCGGCUGCAUGCGCGUAGUUACAAUGUGCACGUGCGUGGUAGCUGCUUGCUUGGCAUGGGUCCAUUGCUACAAGCAAGACAUCGCUCGAUCGACCAGGGUGGGCCCCCGGUCCCCACACUGCUGCAUGCCACAUACACAAGCACACCCACCCACUCGUGCGCACGUGCACUGCUGCAUGCCACAUACACAAGCACACCCACCCACUCGUGCGCACGUGCGUGCGUGCAGGUCCGCACGCGUUACGACACGCCGGCCCCUGGCGUACGCCUGUCGGCCCGACUAAUCGGCACACCCUACGUGGUGAGCGCCGUCACGGACGACAGCGGCCGCUAUGAGCUGGUCAUGCAGACGGAUGUGUACAACUGCGACCCAGUACUGGCGCCCGAGGAGUGCCUCAAGCAGCGCGUCAGGUGCGUGGGGGCGGACUCUGCAUUGGAGCGGGUCAGGUGUGGGUCCUGGAUUGCCCACACGUGUAUGUGUGUGUGUGUGUGUGUGUGUGUGUGUGUGUGUGUGUGUGUGUGUGUGUGUGUGUGUGUGUGUGUGUGUUAAAGAGCACAAGGAAAACGUUGCGCAAAGACAGUGUAUGCGAUGCAGCAAAGCGACGGUUUACGGAUGUUACCUGAAGUUACCAGUGUGUGUGUGUUGUAGUGCGGGGUCGCUGGCGCUGAAUGUACGUGCCUGCCCCCAACGGCAUCGCCAUUAUUAUUGUAUCAACUAGAUGAUACCGUUGCCCGAGCCAACUCACGCAUCUCUCUACAGUACGUGUCCAUGCCAUCAAAUGUUAUCGCUUCAUCAUGUGGUAUGAACAUCUGGUGGCAUGCAGGGCGGUGGCCAGUGCGCGCACCAAGCUGCGCUCAGGCCGCAUCCUGCUCCAUGACUUCAGCAUCAAUGGCCGGCCGGGCGCAGUGCAGAUGCUGGCACUGCAGCACUUGCAGGUUCAGCAGAGUGUGCGAAUCUUGGAUGAAAGCGCCAUGCCUAUCACCGGAUUCGUCAGGUGCGGGAGUGGGGCGGGGCACGCGCAACAUCCCAUUGCGCAGAUGCACCCACACUGCUGUGCAAACGCUGGCAAACACCGCUGGAACCCCUACCUCACGCACGCACGUAUUCAUACAGGUGGCCGGGAUCGGAGGCGAAUCGCGGCUUUGAUCAGACACGCGGCUGCCCCAUCACCAACGCGCGCGUGUGCGCUGUCACUGCCCGCGAGAACUCAAGCGUCAGUUGCGCAAUGAGCGACCCCGGGACGGGUGCGUUCCUGCUGGCUGCGGGCGUUGGCUCGUUCCUGCGGCUGGACGUCACGUACGAGAACCACACAUUUGCCAUCAACAUGCUCGGCACCGUCGAUGUACGUGAGGGGAUGUCAGGGGAAUGGAACGAGACGCCACAGUUUUUGACUGCGCAAUUGACGAAAAGUACUCUCAAAAAAGGGGUCAUUAAGGUGUAACUGCCGUCCAACCACGCACGGCCGCGUAUACAGAUAAGGGCUCACCCCUCCUCCUUCCUCUGCUGCCCUUCGAUUAUCCAUACAUAUAAAACUUCAGGUUGAUGACACUGGGGCCUUUGAGCUCAUGGCGCCAAUCUACGAUGUCGAUAUCCGCGACCUGACCCGCCGCACCGUGCGCGUGGGCCUUGUGGGCGGGCAGUGUGAAAUCAAACUGGGAGCCGCCGUGCUGCAGUUCAGCGCCUACGACUGCGACCUACAGUCGGGCCAGCGCGCGCUGGACCGGCGUGUACGCUUGGACCCGAGCGUGCCGUACACGUAAGUCGAAGGGAAGCUGGCCACGGUACAGUUAAAGCCGUGCGGCAAUGGCAAAGUGAUGGUAUCUAGCUCCGGCUACAUGAUCCCACUGUAUGUGCUAUCGACUGAUAACGCCAAGGCAGGCAGUCUACAUGCGUGACACACAAUGGUUUCCGCCCUACCUUAUACCCUGGAUGCAUGCAUUUACUAUAAUGCCCCACCGCAGGGACAUUGAGGUACCAGCAUUACCCUGGGACAUAUCCUAUGUGGGCAUUGAGGAUGCUGUGCCCGACGUGAGCCCCGAAGCAAUCGAGCGAUUCCUCACCAUCACCAACCAGGUACGGGGGUGUAUGGUCGUUGCUGGAGCGUUCGUUUUGCUGGAGCGUGCGUGUGUGCGUGUGUAAUUGAGUAUCAACGUGGCGAUGCCUGCUGCUGACAAAAAGACUGAGUCACUUGAUUAAAUGCUCCAUCCGUAGAUCACGGGCUUUGUGAACCUGACAAUUGGUACCGACACGGAGCUGUUCGACCCCACUGCUGCGGACCUCGACAUUGGUGAAGAGCCCGUUCUGCCUGAACCGCCAGUCGUCAAGUUCCAGUUCACAGCUCCCAACGAGAUGGAGGUGCAGGUGCGUGCGUGUGUGGUGAUUAGGGAAGUAAAGGCGUGAAUGUACGGGCACGAUGUACGGGGUAGCUGCUUGUUUUUUGGGGUGUGGUGCUUGCUCAUCAUGUUGCACGGCUGGGGCUGCCGUCCCACCCAAGCCACCCCACCCAAUCUUCAUGCCGCCCACCCGCGUGCCACAGGUGUGCAAGGACUUCAAAGGCUCCCUCAUCAACUGCGGCGAGUUCAGCCUCAACCGCCGUUGCGACGGCAACACCUCGGUAGGGAGGCUGCAGGGGGUUGCGUAGCGGGAUGGCACAUGCAGAUGCGCCAAAUACGCAUAGCAAUGCCUUGGAUGCCGCGCACGCACCGCUUGCGGCCAGUCAGUGUACAGCGGACCUACCCAAGCAAAGUGGUAAUCAUGCAGGGCUACCAAGUCCCAUGAUCAUCAUGUGCACAAAGGAUUGCUUGCGCACAACGGAUUGCAUGCUAACUUCUGUACACACAUCACCUGCUGCAGAUCAACGCCUACCAGGCUGUGUACAGCGCCUUCGGGCCGCCCGACACGUCAUUGGUGAAGAAGGAUGUGUUGCUGCUGAAGCGAGGUGGGUGUCCGGGGAGUUUGCUGUGUGCAUAAACUCCAACACGCACCGCUUUGUGAGAGCAAGUACUUGACCGGUGAACAUUGCGCCAGCUCUUAUUGGCGUGUGUAAUUUGUUAAGCCGUCCAUGAGCAUGUGCAGCUGGUUGACUUUGCUCGCCUGUUAAACACCUGCAGCUGCGCGGUAUAAGAUGCGCAUCAAGCUCUUCCAGAUGUACGGCAGGUACGUGCAUGCACGUGCCUGCAUGCUGGCAGGUCCAGGCCGGUUGCGGACCAUAACUGUGCGUAUGUACAUAUUUAGCACGGCUGCGGCGCACCCGUCCACUAUGCUACAGCUACCUGAAUGGCCCCGGGUUCAUUUCUCGCGGUGCCCCUCCCCGUUCCGCCCCGUGCGUGCAGGCUCCGGUGCGACAACCUGAAGACCACAGUGCUGGUUCAGGAUUCCAUUGGAGGCGAGGUGGAGGAGAACCAGUGCAGCGUCAAGCGCCGGGGCUGCGUGAAGAAUGUGAGUGCGAAGAUACGUGCUUGGUUUUCAGGAGGCAUGAACGAGGUGCAGCUGGAUGGUGGCGCCAGUCGCAGUGUCCCAAGUAAACCCGCGGUGAAACCAGCAGUAAAGCUUUGCUGAGAACUUGGUUAACCUGCACGAGGAUAGAUGCCUGAACCGAGUCCUGCUCGUACGGAUAUGUACAUGCAGGUUGGGUUUGAUGAGCUGACCAACACCACCGAGUUCACCUACGACCUGGUCCCGGGCGCCAUUAGCUUUGCUGUCGGCACCGCCUACGCGCUGCCGCUGUCGGCUGUGGCUGCCAGCCCAGGCUGGCCUUCGCGCUCCCUGCUAUUGUACUCCAUCGUGGAGGUAUGUACAUGCAACAGACUCCUGCACCUUUCGUUUGCGGUGCCGGACAAUCCCUUAAUCACACGACCUGUGCGCACACGCAGGGCACCCAAUCCCGCACGGGCACUGGCUACAUCGAGAUCCCCAUCCCCGUGCCUCUGCUCAUCUUGCGCGACCCGCCGGGUAAGAACGCGCGCAGGCGAUCAAAUGCGUACAGCAGCGUUUGUGUGCUGGUGGUGUGCCUCCAUUCAACACCCAUCCAGCCGUGUGCGCUGGCACGCACGAACGCUUAGCUUUGAUACUGCAUGACUUGCUUGCAAUCUGGACGCGUCCAGGCGACCGCAGCUAUGCCACGCUGGAGGGAAGCAUCUCCACAGCCGUCAAGCUGUCACAAGUGACGCACGACAAACAGACCUGCGGCGGCGUGGGCGAUGAUGAGGUCUUCAGCAAGGCCAUGCCUGUAAGUUAUUGGUGCGUGAUCAUCACUGCUAUGUGCAUUCCACACUUUUUGCUGAGCGUGUCAUAACCCAUUCCCACACCUCCCCCCCUCUUGUCCAUCGGUUCAUGCACGGACGCGUCGCAUCCAACAGUGGGUAAGUGCGUUUGUUCGCUUUGUGAGGCAUCCCGCCGCGCUUAGGGCCAUAGGUUGCAUUCCCUGAAAUUGCGGACAAUAUGUGCGUGUUCGCCGCGCUAAGCUGGUGAAAGAAUCUCUCGUCAGCAAUUGAUCAAGUAUUUGAUACCCGUGCCUUUUAACCACAUCCACCCUCCCCUUGCAUAACGUUAUCUACCAUCACCGCAAUCCCUGCCGACGUGGAACCAACGCAGAGUAAGUGCGGCGGGACAAUCAAACAGUGAAGGAGCGUGGUGUGUGAACACGUGCAACCUACUUGCUUGCUCCGCUGUAUUCACGCGCGCUACAUUUGUGUCACACAUUUCCCAUGCAUGCUACGGCAUGUACUUCUGGCUGAAGCUCAUUUUACCUCUCCAUCUGACCCCCAACAGACUUGCUGAACGCGGUUCCUUUCUCCAAGGUGAGCUGGGUGCUGGGUACUUGGCUGGGCUUCGACAGCUGUACAUAUGUACCCACUGCUACGUGCAUACGUACUACUAAGGAUUGCCAGGCUAGGUAUAUUCUCGUCAAAGCGUUAACUAAUGGCGCUGUCCUGUUUAUUCGGCUGCAGUUUGGUAAAACCUCCAAGAUCAACGAAGGGGUGAUGAAGGCAACCAAAAGCGCCGCCAAGGUCGCGACCGCACAGGAUAAGAUUAGGAGAGGUGUCCCGAAGACCAGUCUGUGGGGCCAGGUGAAACGGUUUGGCAGCAAGGGGGCAGCUGCACCCGGGAAGGCGGUGAAAGGUGUGGUGAAGAAAGUGAAGUCAUGGACGGGCUCUGGGACGAAGAAAUCGGAUAUUGUCAUUGGCGGCCAACGCAAGGGCGCCGUGCCAGUCAAGCAGCAGGAGUGGGUGAGGGCAACGGCUAACCGUGGCGCAACAACGGCAACGCAAACAUCAUCCGCGGCCCAAAAAGGCACCCAGCUCCCUUCGUCCCUGACCAAGGCGGUGAGCACAGCGAAGAAGGUUGUUGACAAGGUCGACGACAGUCUGGAGCAAAUGGCUUUGUUCUACCAGAAGUACUUCCAGGUGAGCAUCUAAUGUAUGGCUGCAUGCUAGCAUUCGUGUGACGCCCAGCUCUGUGAUGAGUGAUGACGUGUCAUUGGAUCCAAGCAAUCCGCUGACUCUUCCGAGCGCGUGCAUGUCCUUGCUUGUUACAAUGCCACUCGGCACCGUGGAUGCGCGCACGCACCCCAACGUCCAUGUGUGGCUCUGCAGGAGAACGCCAUCAAGAAGUUCUACGACGAUUACCACAUCAGCAAGUACAUCAAGGUGCGAGAUAGGCCCGGUCGCACGGUCUAGAGCUGCGCUGGCAUGGGCAGGUGCUGGCGGCGGGCUCUGCAAGGCGCGCUACCUACCCUGCCCGGGAAUGCAUUUUGCCCAGGUUCACCCGAUAAGUAAGGUAAACCCUUGUAUGCUUCAAGCAUUGUGUUUCCUUUGGCGGCCUACACUGCACGCCAGGUCCUGAAGCGCCUGUACAAGAGCGAUGCUCUCACGCCUGAGGACACCACGGGCGAGCAGCUGCAAGACCCUGAUGGACUUGAGAUGGGCCGCGGCGCGGGUUUGUCGUACCGCAAGACCGAAAACGGUGGCCAGCUGGCAUUCGAGCUGUUUGAGGGCCUUGGAGUGUGAGUACCCACGCAUGUGAUUCAUGCAACUUGGCGUGCCCAAAGGGGAGUUUGCCACAUGUGAUCAGGCUGCUGGCUAUCUGCAGCCACCAGCACCGCCGUGCCGUCCAAUUUACGGGUCGGUUUUGGGCCUGGGGAUGCUAGAAGACUAAUUAUGACGAUGCAUUGUCUGCGUUUACUCAUCAUCUGGACUGUUGCUUUCUUACUUGCAUGCAGGCCGACUGACCCCGACACGCUGGCUGCCGUCAUUGCUGAAAUGAAGACCCUGGGUGAAGACGAGAGCGCCGAGCUGCUUGCUGGGCUGGUGGAGCAGCGGGACUAUGCGCGGGAUGCCGUUGAGGAGGUGCGUGGUUGGGCCAGCCACGCCUUGACGCGGAGGUCGUGUCCAUGCGCGUGUGCAUGGCAGGGGCCAGAAAACCGUACACUAGGGAAGUCCAAAGACACUAGGCUUGUCCAUGGCUCGUGCAAUGCUCACUAUGCUGCCUUGCUCCCCGCCCGGAUAGCUUCUCACUCUGUACGUGCAUCGCUUCACUCGCUGCAUGCAGGACCCCAUGCUGCCAAGUGUCAACCUCAUUGACAUGAACGUGGCCUUCAACCGCGACCCCUACGGCCUGCGCCCUGGCUACAAGCACCUCGGCAAGGAGACGUCCAGGAUCCCCGACAUCUACCGUCCCCAGGACAAGGCCGAGUUCAGGUUGCGGUCCGGCGGCUUCAGUGGCCUGGUGAGAGCUUGAUCAUGCACGUCAAGUCGUGCUGCCAGUACCCCAGUGGAUACUCAAUCGGCGCAGUAAAUACAAUGACCUGCUGCUCUGAAUUUCUCUAGUGCUCAUUUGCGCCCAUCAGGCCGCAGGAUGGGUGUCAAACAACCAGCAGCAGCAAUACCCCCGCCCAGUCCCUGACAAACCUGAACAUUAAUUUUGCUGCAGAACCCCAUCUGCGCCAAGCGGCACAUUGGUGUCGGGUAUGAUCUGGACAUCCUCUCGUGCGCGGGCUUGGGUUACAUGGUGUGCCUGCCAUCCAUCCGUGAUCGAGGCCAGGCUGGCAUGCUUACUGAUAUGGCCUGGUACAACGAAGGUAGGGGCGUGGCAUGCGUUGCAAUGCUGCGGCGGGCCACGGAUAGACCACUUGCCCCGGGUCCCCUCAGGAUGCAUGAUGCCCUACCGUGUGUGGUGGCUGGGGCUGCCCGCGCACCUCACACUCUGCACCGCUUGCGCUCGCUGCUGGCAGCAUUAGUUGUAGCGUCUGCUGGCUGCACCCAUCCAGCUGCCCAUCCCAAAGCUUUUAAUCAGGGGUGGUUUGUUCCCUAGCCAAUGACUCGACAUUCACCCCGCCCGCCACAUACAGAGGAGGAGGAGUCGUACUACAAGCUGACCAUCAAGCGCGAGGAGGGUUUCAGCACGCCUGAGGAGUCCACCCCAGAGCUCACCGACGGUGGCGGCGACAUGAUUCUGGCGCCCACGUUCGCCAUUAUGUGAGUCGCGUGCACGUGGUGUAGGUAGUGCACGUGGUGUAGGUAGUGCACAUGGAGCGGUGUGUCUCAGCUGUUUCUGAGCCAUACGUGCCAGUGGCUCCUGUAGACACGGGGUGGUGGCGCGGGGCAGCCGAUGCGUCCUGGCUUCCGCACUUUCACGUGGACAUCCUCGCUUGCGUGAAUGCAAAACCACACAUUAGGGGUUGCUCAACACUUACGUUUGGUGCUGUGUUUGGGUUCGGGUUGAUGACAGCUAAGCCAAGUAUCUGCACUCGCCCGCUGCGCCCUUCACAGGUUCAUCCUGCAGGAUGAGCUGAAGUUCGACACCCGCACGUGCACACCAACGGCACGCAUGGGCAUUCCCGGUGCGUACGUGUCGCCUUCCCCAAUGCACAGUUGGCUCACAUAGCUAGCAGGCGGACCGGACGACCAAGCACGCCGCACCUCAACCACUUCCCCACCUCCCUGAUAAGGCGCGCUGUCAACCAAGGUGUAUGUAUGCUACAGCGGCGCCAAGCUUGAUCCAGCUGACAGCUAGCGCCUUCAUCAAAUUGCGGUCGCUGUACCCACCUGACCACUCUACGUGCCCACACUCCCAUUCUUCCCUCGCAGGCUGGGACCUGCAGGAGAACAUGCAUGGCACUGCCUGGCACUCUGUGCACCACAUCCGCAACGUAGUCAUCCCCGAGCUCUCGAGCAAGGUAGGUGCCGACGUGUGCGUGUUUGUUGUAAUGCGGGGGAUGUGACACGCGCGUAGGCACUAUAACUGCUGGGGGUGGCAUGGCGCGCGUGUGUGCGCACUUGAUUGGGGCCGGCGCAACGUGUACGUAUAAAACAAGCAUUGAUGUGACUCCCUGGGGGCCUUGCAUGCAUUGUAUUUACCUGGAGCGAGGAAUGGCGGCUUGUAUAGCCAUCCCAGACAUCCUCGCGCAUCUCGGCCCUGAUCCCCCUGCAUUCUGUUCCUGUUGGUUCGCUCCCGGUCAACCUGCAGUACGCCGCCGAGAUGUCCAAGCCGGCCGCUCAGCAGAGCCCCGACAUCCUCGCCAACAUCUACCAGGUCCGCACUUGACUGCAUGCAGCACACUGGUGCCUGCUUUCCAUGAACCGUGACAUUCCGCCACUUACCUUCAUUGACGCUGCCCCUCCGCUCUUCCUUGCGCAGGGCAUGCGUGGUUGGGAGGAUGUCAUGACAAUCUACGAUGAGAUGAACACCAUGGCAAAGCAGCAGGAGGAGAGCUUUCCCAACUACGUGGUACGUCGAGUGGAAAUAAUCAACCCACGUCCCACGCUCGCAACAACAGACCACAAGCGACCAGCGUCCUAUGCAGGGUGGCUGGUAUGAUCCCUGCUGCUUCUACAUGACGCAUUUACGCAAACGAGUAUCUCCCGCUGGCCCGUCGUCCACCCAUGCCUUACCUCGCCCUCGGCACCCGCAUUCCCCAUCCACUCCCCUCAUCCCCCAGGUGGGAGACCAGGAGAUCAACGGAAUGGUGCAGGGCACCGUGGAAGGCGUGUGGCAGGCGACGCUGGACGACCACCCCGACAGGUUCGCACUGUUUGGAUGCUGUUGUGGAUCAUCAUGCAUAUACUGCCAGCUGUGGCUUGAGCACGGUUUAAAAAGCUAAAGGCGCCAUCGCCAUUCUCUUGCCACCGACCUGUACACAAUCAUUUACGCAUUGCCACGCGCGGAUGACACGCAUGGACAUUCACGAUGCUUGUGAUGUGACACGCAGGCACAUGGAUGCCUUUGAGGCCCGCUCCAUUGACCCAGAGCGGCUGGAGCAAUCACCAGUGUGGAAGCUGGGAUACUAUGAAGGCAGUGAGAAGCUCGCGCAGCUCAUGUAAGUGACAACGAGCCGCAUGUUUCGUAGCCGUGCUUGUUACGAAAUUCAACGCGCGCUUCUUGUCUGCCUGGCUUGACGUUUUACUGAACCUGGUGAGAGGACGGCCCGCUGUUUGCUGCGGUUGUAAGUACGAUGCUGUGGCCGCUGCUCAUGCUGCUACUGCAUGUACCACGCAGGCUGCGUACUCAGGCGUACAUGGAUAACAGCACUUCGGCCGGCAACAUCGUGGCGAUGCCCCGCGCCAAGGCGGCCAUGGGCGGCGUCGCCACCGGAAAACAUGUGCGGCUGGGCGGGGUGUGGCGUUAGGGGCUGCAUUCCAGCUUCGGGUGUGCCGUGAAUGCGUGUCCGGAUGUUACCCUACGGCGCGAUGCGGUUAGCUGGAUGCAGCGCUGACCGGGAAUGGCCGAACGCAGCACUGGCGGAGGAGAGUGAGCGGCCGCUCCGUUUUAUCCCACGCUACUCUCCGGAGCUGCACAGCCUUGAAGCCGCCAUUCUCAUCCUCAUGACACUUGCGUGUUUUGUGCCCUGUGCAUGUUUAUGUGCAUGGCAGGUUGACAUCCUGCAAGAGAAGUACGGGGUCCAGUUCAACACCAUGUCCUUCAGCGGUGGUGGCGGCAGCUACAGCUACCGCUUUAAGACCAUGAGCACUAUCAGCACCAAGAUCCAGUUCCAGAUCAGCUUCAAGGACAUGUGAGCGCUGUACGGAUGGAUCCCGUGCAUACCGUAUUGCUGCUUGUGUGGAAGUAAAUGCAAUGCACGGAAACUGCCCAACAAAAGGCUGGCAGGGAAAGCGGAGGGCGGCGUCUUAGGAAAAGGGCCGCGCACGUGCCCACACUAUGCAGUCCUGAGCAAGGGCGCCUAACAGCACUGACCUCGAAUGACACGUGCUGUUGUGUGCGCUGCCGCAUGUGCGUUGCCGCAGGUUUGGCUGGAAGGGCGGCGGAGGCGGUGGUGUUGGGUUCUGGAUUGAGACCACGGAUGAGAACCUUUACGGUUUCGAGCUCGAGUUCGACUCCAGCCUGUGAGUGCAGGCCUAGCCUGGAGGCCUAGGAGCAACUACCGUACCUGACUUGCAACCGAGUGUACCGCACAUGCCGUAAGGAAGCCAAAAAGAACACACACGCUUGAACAAAAUCACGUGCUGCCCGGUUCCUAAGUUGCAUGUGAACGCACGCACGCAUUCACAGUCCAGCAGUCCCUCCACCUAUCUACGUACGUGGCACUCACCAGCAGGGUGCAUCCCCGCCCGCCGCGCCGCCACGCUUGCCAUGGAUUACUACAUUGCCUUAAAGUGAUGUGAACGAAUCCCUAACCCCCUCCGCCUCCGGCCGCCUCGUCACCCUGCCACUACCGCAGGCUGGAGGAGACGGACCGCGAGCGCACCGUGAGCUUCACGCUCAAGGACAAGGACGUGGGCGACUCCUUCCUGGUCAAAGUCAAACCCGACAUGGCGUACGGCACACCCAUGUUCGAGCUGCUUGCGGGUGAGAGCGUCGGGCAUCGGGUUGGGUUGGGUGCAGGAUGAGCGUCUGUGUGUGAGCGCUGGGAGCUGCAGGUGGCUGGGGUGACUGUCACUCGGAUUGUGUGGAGCAGGAAGGAGUAUUCGGCGUGUGGUGCACCACUGCUUGCCCAGCCCCACACAGCCCCACCGCACUCCAUACAUGGCCCUACCCGUUAUUCACACCUACAACCGUGUGCGUGUGCAUCCAGGCCGCAGCAAGUGCCCAUACGAGCACGGCACGCUGCAGCGUGAAGGCGCGGCGGUGUCUGUGCUGGGCGGCCAGAAUGUACAGGUACGUGGGCCAUCGAUCCUAGUGGCUGGCUUCAGUCGCGAUGCAUGGGGUAUUACAUUAAUAGGCGCGUGCGUGCGCAUGCGGUGGGGGUUAGGUGCGGGCGCUGCUGGUGCUGGUAUGCGGUCGGGUGACUGCUUGAAUGGCACGUUCUACGUGGCAAGGUGUGCACAGCUGUGUACAGCUUGGGACCAAGCUACGUUUCACCCAUAUACACCUGAACAACCUGCACCCGGCGCACGAACACCGCUGCCACACUGCUGUGCCUGCUGCAGUUCAACGUGAAGCAGGGCACAGAGGCGCUGUACGAGCUGCUGAUUGAGAACCAGUCCGGCACAGACGAGCAGGUGGGAGCGGGUGAAGUGUGUGCUUGCGUGUUUCGUGUUCCGUUCGUGGGAGUAGCUGGGAGAGGGCAGAGCGGCACACUGAGGGCCGCAAGGGUCGCCAUACCGAGGCGGUCACAUGCCCGCCGCCCGCAAUCAACACACAUCCACUUGCGGCUGCCGCCCCCUACCUUCCGCCCACUCCACGCUCCCAUAACACCAUGCACGGCCGGCAGUCAUUCACUCAUUGUGUAAUUUACUAGCCCGCGAAACUGAACGCCACACGUCGCAUCGAUCGACACACCUACAUGCAGGUGGAGCUGCAACUGGGCCCCGACCUGGCCACCAACAACCAAUCCAUGUACGUCCAGCUGAUGGGGGCGCCGUGGAUCGAGCCCGUGGGGUUCAGCCUGCGCGGCCCCUUCGCCGCACAAACGCGCGCCCUGGUGUCAGCCAAAUGCGGCCCGCGCUACCCCUCCGCCAGCAUCGACAUCGUCGCCAAGUCCACCUGUGACAGCUGUGAGUUGGUUGCUCACAGCGGCUCUACUUGUUUGUGUAGCUUGAAGCUUGGUAUUUCCUCAGAGCGCACGGGGCUAGCUAGCUAGCUUGAACGUGUGGACCACGUCUUAUUGGUUGAGAGCAUUGGCCUAAUUAGUUGGCUUAUCGUCCGCUGCCACAUACUAUGCGAGACAGAAGUGACAGCAGCAGGUGUGCCCAGGCGCACAUGGCCCGUUCCCCUUGCUGCACGCCGUCUCAGCGCCUGACCGCCCUUGCCCCUCCCUGCAGCCGAGCUGUCGCGUACGCCCCUCACGCUGCAAUGCUUCACCCCCUGCCCCGCUGUCAUGUGGCCGCAAGUAAGUGUACGUCUUUAGGACUGUCCUGGUGCCACACAUGCGUGUCAAUGGGUCACAGUGCGUGGGAAGCGCCGAAUGGAACCGCGAUGCACUAGAUUCACUUUUCACCACCUGUAACAUAACUCCCCACCUACUCGCGCCCCCGUGUCUUCCUCAGGAGUGGCCGCAGCAGCAGCCCCUCAUCUACAACCUCAGCGACAUUACAGCAAGCAAGGUGGGAUGGGUGUGGUUGUGGGUGUUUGAAGCGCGCUGGUGUGAUUGUACCAUGUAGCCGCCGUUGUCUAUUGCCGCCAGCGAGUGCGGUAAGACCGUACUCUACGUACGCGGGCCUGCAGCUUCACACCGCCACCUCCACGCCGUUUAUGACUACAUGCCCGUGUGCCCUGCUUCCCUGCCUUCCACAGACCAUCCGGCUCAAGGUCUUCAACCCCGCAUACUCCAUCCAGAAAUGGAACACCCACCCGCGCCUCAACGGCACCAACGGCACCACUUCGGUGCGUCCUUCACCCAGCUCGCCACGCACGCACCUUCCCUGGCCUCCGGCCCCCACUCGCUCCCCUUCACACGGAUCAAACCCGACUCUUCCACACGAAAUCUGACCCCUCCACCUACCUCCUCCACCUGCCUCACACUCAGAUCAUCAUCGAGUACACCAACGUGGUCUCGGGCGGCGGCAUCUGGCUGCCGGUGCGCUACCUCAACGGCAGCCGGGUGGACUUCAGCAAGAUCGAGGACCCCGCCUACGGCUACGCCACCUUUGACUGGUCGCCGGUGGGUAGCAGCAGGGCCUGCUGUCUCUGCGCGUGAUGGUGCUAGCUCUAUGAAGCAGCAGACCGUUUCCCCUGCCGCCGCAUGGGGGGGGGGGGCUCAAGGCGAUUCACAGCAACACCCGCGUCCGUCCCGCGGCACGUACGGCACGCACCCACCCACCCACACACACGCACACCAUCCACGCAUCCACCUUCCGCCCUCCCCCGCAGGCCUCUGUGGUGGACGGCGAGUACCUGCUGCGCUACGUGGCGUACUGCGACAUCCUGGUGGGCGGCGGCACCGACAGCCGCUACGAGGGCCCCUCCAUCUCCCUGCUGGUGGACAAGGCGCCGCCCGUGCCCAGCCGCUUCUCGGCCUGGCCCAACAUGUCGUACGUGCCGGGAGACCAACUGUUCGUGGACUUCACUGAGCCGUUGGACUGCCGCAAGCCCUUCGCCUUCGGCGUGGUGGCCACCCAGCGCGACUCGGCAGGCAGCACCUUCAUCAUCCCCAGCAGUGAGUGGAGGGCGGGGCGGGGGGCGGGGCGGGGGAGGCUGUCUCCGAUACGGUAUGCCUAGUAAGAACGGAGACGCAAAGGAGCGGAGGGGUAGGAGUCGCAUGUCGCGCAUCCCGCCUGGACCCUGCUUACCUGCCUGCCUGCCCUACCGAGCCGGCCCGCCGCACCAUCCUGCCCGUGGCUACGCCACCGUCCAUACAUCUCACCCUCUCCGCCCGCCCCCCGCCCCCUGCCCCUGCCCCCGCCCCCGCCCUUGCCCGCCAGCCGACCUGUACGCCACGUGCUCGGGCAACCGCAUCAACUUCCACUGGGACUCCAUCAACCGCCCCACGGCGCUCAUGCCCAACCGCACCGUCACCAUCCAGCUGCUCAACGUCAAGGACCUGGCGGGCAAUGCCGUGCCGCGCGCCAUCAACCUCACCUUCGCCACCGGCACGCUCACCGCAAACGUGAGCAAACACUACGGUACUACCAGGAUACCAGGGAUUCUGCUACUUUUGCUUGACUACGGCCAAAGGCCUACUGCUGAUCUCUCGGUCACGGCCCCAUACAUUGCCUCCGCACAUACACCUUCCUGUCCUGCCCAGCCCAGCCGAUCCCUUCGCGGUCAACCCGCCAACCCGCCAACCCGCCCACACCCGACCCUAUCCGCGCAGGCGCCCGUGACGCUCAACUAUGUACUGGGGCCGCUGCCCACGCCGGCGCGCCGCCUGCUGUUCGCCGACCGCUCGGGGGUGCUGCCGGUGCAGCUGGUCAACCGCCUGGCGCUGCGGGACGAGUCCGCGGCGGAGAGCCUGGAGGUGGGCACCUGCAUGUGUGUGUGCGUGGUCAGGGCGGCGUUUGUGUGUGUGUGUACACGCAGCUGCUGUGUUAGGGAGCACAGUCAAGGAAUGUACAUGGGGGGAAGCGGGUGGGCUGGUGACAUGGUCUGGCCACAUUGCACCUGCACAUUCGAGUGGCUCACAUGUUUGGUAGUAGUGGACCCGUACACAGUGCGCUCGGGUCCCCAGUCCGCAGCCUGCCGCUGCUACGUGUCGCAUGCGCAUGCUCGCCUCUGCGUGUAUCCCAUACCCAUCACCCACCCAUCAGCCCACCCACCAACCCAACCAUCAACCCACCCAUCCUCCGGCGCCCGCCCGCCUCCCUCCCUCCCUCCCUUCUCAGGCCCUUGUGGAGCAGCGCAUGGAGGCGCGGCGGCAGCUGCUGGCCCGCGUGGACGGCGUGCUGCAGAGCUGCACCGCCAGCGGCGAGGCGCUGGCGGCGGUGGCGGCCAUGACCAGCGCGCGCGGGCGGCUGCAGGCCACUGACCUGCUGGAGGAUGAGGACCUGCUGAGCAUGGUGCGUGCGUGGGGGUGGGUGGCUGGGUGGGUGGGUGCUGGCUGGGUGCUGGCUGGGGACGUGGGUUUGUGGUGGCUGGGGCGUGGGUGCUGGCUGAGUGCUGGCUGGCGGUUGGCAAAGGAACGAGUAUGUGUGGUCCCUGGCUGCUGGGUGUUUGGGGCUGGGUGUUGUCACCCACCUCGCUCCUGGCGCACUCUCCCAUGUCAUGUGAACGCCACACACCCAGUCGCGCCAAUCUCACCCACACCAACACACACACACACACACACACACACACACACACACACACACACACACACACACACACACACACACACACACACACACAACACACACAUGCACCCAUACACACACAAGCUCAACGUACAAACACACACCAUCACUCCCAUACACACAUGCACACAGGUCAUCGAGUUCCAGGCGACGGGCGGCAGUGCCGAGGAGACUGCCGCCGCUGCCGUGCAGCUGGUGGCGGCAGCGCGCGACAACAGCUCGUGCCUGUCCACCCAGCUGGCAGCCAACUUCGCGCAGCUCCGCCGCGUCUUUGCCGAGAAGGGCAUCGACGACCAGCUGCUUGAGGGCGCGGGUGAGGAGGAGCUCCGCGCGGUGCGGGCGGCGGCAACGGCGAGGGCGGCGCGUAUGGGCCUGGCGCAAGCGUGGGAGGCGUCCGUGGCAGAGGCGCAGCGGGAGCAGGCGAAGCUGCUGGCGGCGAGUGAGCAGGCGACGACGGAGGCGCAGGAGCUGCUGGCGCACAUGACAGCAGUCUCGGAGGCAGACGGCGUGUCGGCUAACCAGCAGGCGGCGGCAGCCGUUGUGGUAUCGGGUGCAGAGGAGGGCGGUCGCGGCGGCAUGGAUACCAACCGCCGCCACCUGGUGAACCCGGCCGCUGUCUCCGCUGCCGCCUCCGCCACUGUGACACCCCAGCAGCAGCAGCAGCAGCAGCCUGCCGCUGCCGGCGGUCUGGUGCACUGGCUGCGCAGCCACCCCUACAUCAGCCUGGCUGUCUGCGUGCUGGUGAGCAACGCCGUGGCGCUGCUGCUGGUGGGCGGCAUCUGGCGCUACAGGAAGCGCAACAGCGGCCUGUCAGAACUCAAUUCCAAGAAGCGCGGCACAGGUCUGCUGCCGACUCGGCGCCGCCGCGGCCUGGCGGCGAUCCUGCGGCCGGGUGCUGCGAGCAGCGGCAGCACCGGCGACGGCGGCAGCAGUGCUGGCGACCAGCACCAGGCGUAAGCGCUGCUGCAAUUCUUUGUUUUCUUCUCCAUCUUGCCUUGCGUUGUGAAUAGUUCGUCCUGUGAUGAGUAUGCGCCUUGAUGAUCAUGUUGCAUAUAAAGCAUGGUGUUUCAAGCAUACUUGCUAUAUGAAAGGUGACGUAGUGUUUAGAAUGAUUGCAUGCACGUUCUGUCAUGCCUCUGGGCACUGGGGGUAUUUGAUUUCCGCCCUGCUUUCUCAUCGUGCGCGGUCUGCACGGUCAGUGUGAUGCACGUAACCGUUGCCCAGCAGUACCGUACGGAGAUUAUGAAGACGUCACGAUGUUUCUGAAUGUGAGACGGACAUUCUUUGCACAGUUAGUGUCUCUUUGCCUGGGCUUCGCUUGCAUAUCGGCCGUCUGAGGCCGCUUGUAGUACACACCGCGGAUCGUGGUUUGCACGAUCUGAAACCAUCUGCACAUCAUGCUCAACUCGUACAGCAGCGCACGCAAUUUUGCGUGAGUUUAGUUGGCACGUGUGAAGUGACGCUUCUGGGGUUCCUUCACAAGAUGUUUACGGUAUAUCUGUCCAUCAAUAUCGUUCUUAGCGCCAUCCUAUCAGUUUCAUCACGGCAUGCGUGCAUCCAUCCUUUUGUUUCCCCCUUCUCAAACGUUUCUGUUUCUUUCGCAGUUUGGGUUGCAGUUUGCGGCUUGGCGUGUGUGUUGAUAUUGUUGCUGGAAUGGACCUCCUAAUACGGGCAGUAGAGAUGGUAUGUUCGUGUAUAUGCCUCCACGCGUCAGAGGCUUGAGACGGGAAAAGUGUUUGUUGUCCCUUGCGUGUGUGCAGCCCCUUUAUCCAAGGUAAAGGUCUAUCUCAGCCUAUGCAGGACUGGCUCACCCUAGAAGAACGUGCAAGAAUGAACCUGUAAUAAGAAGGCUUCUUUGCCAAUGUAUGCCUCACGCUACAGUCCCACAUGUAGUCUAGCUCAAUCAGUUAUACUAAUGGAACAGGCCUGGAGCCGUAGAAGUCAGCCUCCGCGGCAAGACAUGUCGUGCAGCCGCCCUCGGUCCGCAAGAGUGGGUGGGGGAUGAUGGUGGGUGGGUUGUGGGGAUGAGGCAGAGCAGCGAAGACCUAGACAGCUCGGGAGUUAGCAAUGGGUUGAAUCCUUGGCUGGUGGGUUGGAUUGGGGAACCAGGGACGCUAAUACAAAUCCCUACUGCUGAUUGCUGGAUACGGCAGCUGGGUAGGAUUUCUGGACACUACUGUCGCUCUGUCCAAAGACACGCCACGCGCGCUCAAGACUCCUUAUCAGAAAGGCAGGUGAUGAAUGGGCAGAAGGAACGGAGGCGGUCAGGACUCCUUGCGCUGUUAAACUGAGUCAGUAAAUGGGUAGCUGGCUGGGGAGGAUGGGCGUGCGGGUUGCAUUCUUACUUUCAGAAGUGCACGCAUCAGUCAAACUGGCCGCUCUAGGCAAACUAGGAGCCAACAGGCAACAUGAGGAUAUAGGACCAGCAGCCUGCGGGCGCCGGGCAGCAGUCCAUACGGCAAUCUACUCCAUCCCUACUUGUGCUGUCAAUCUACUCACUACUUGUGCUGUCGUGUGACUCAGCAGCGUACGGGGGGAGGCCUGAUUUGUGCGUGUGGCCGUGUGCUGAGCUGUGGAGCUCAUGGCUAGCUAUGUGCGCUCACCAGCUGCCCCUGCUUUGUGGGAUGGGUGCGUGGGGGCGAUAAGCAAGCGCAGCAGGUCAUUGCCAAACCUGGCACGCAUGGCAUGCAGGGACCUUCUGAAUGGCGCCUGACACGUCAGUGGCCCGUGGAAGUCCCAGUGGGGCUUAACCCGGCCGGUAGCCAUGCCCACACAGCGCCAGAGCCAGCGCUGCUGCCAAGUACGGUAUGGUAUAACGUUCCACCAGUGCACGUCGAAAGCCUUGCCUGGCCGCCCUCAGCCCCAGGAUACUCCCGGAGCACAUGCCCGAAUCCCACAGACCCCUUGUCCCUCCUCAACGUUACAAGCAACAAAGCAAGCAGGCAAGCCCCACAGUCGGUGCUGACCUAGUGGCCAUUAGGCGUAUCUCAGUUGCCUCCCACCAGCAACUUAGUGGCCGUUAGGCGCCUCUCAGUUGCCUCCCACCGGCAGACCAAGGGUGGGCGGGCGGAAAGCAACCAAACAGGCAUAAAAGCAAAAACAAGGCAUAAAAGUACUGUACGAUAGAAAGAGACAAACGGCAGAUGCUGCUACCAGCAGCAUCUGCGCUACUUGGAGGAGCAAUAGCGCCUCGUACGGCACUCCGUGCCAUACCCACUUAAUCGUCGUGAGAACCUGCCUUCUCCGACGCUCAUACUUCGCUCCGGAGAAGUCAACAUUUGUCCCCCAACAUGGCACGCCAUCGGUCUCACACAUCCUCAAACGCCCUCACACCCUGGUCUUGCCACAGCCUGGGCGAACUCACAAUCAAUACGCACGUGUCAUUUGAGCCAUCGUGAUAUCUGACACCAAACAUUCAUUCCUAUUAUGUUACGGUCUACGCGACCAUGGUGCGGGCUACAGAACCAGGUUACCACCAGCCCGAGGGUGGCGGCGCGUGGCUCGGCGGCGGGUAGCCUAUGCCAGGCGGCGGCGCGGCCCAACCGCCGCCGGGGGCCGGCGGCGGCGCCCAGCCGCCUGGGCCCUGCCGCUGCGGUGGCGGCGGUCCCCCAAGAUGCUGGUAUUGCUGGUACGGCUGGUGCUGUUGGUGGUAUGGCGGCUGGUGGUGAAGAAGUGCGGGCGGGGGGUGGUGCGGCGGCGGCUGGUGGUGUGGUUGCUGGUGCGGCACUCCCCAGUACGGUGGGGGCUGCUCAUGCAACGCAGGCGGCAUCUGCUGGUAGUGGAGCGGGGUCUGGUGUUGGUGUUGGUGCGAGUGCGGGGGCUGCUGCGGCAGUACCGGCAGCAGCAGUCGGCCGCCGUAUCCUCCGGUAACAAACCCGCCGCUGCCACCGCUACCGCCGUUCCCUGUCACAGGAACCCCUCCUCCUAUUACCGCCCCAACUCCUGCCCCCGCUUGGCCCAGCAACAGUGGUUGCUGCAGCGGCGGUUGCUGCAACGGUAGUUGCUGCUGCCGGCUGCGCGGCGGCGGCGAGGGCGAGCGCCGCUCUCGCUGCCCCGGUGCUGGACCGCCUCCCGUUCGGUGCAGGCUGCCGCCGCUGUGUGAGCGCUGCAUGCGUUCGGGCUGCGGCGGCCCCUUGGGGUGCGGGCGCGGCGGAGAGCGGGAGCGGGAGCGGGAGCGAGGCCGGGCGACGGGCCUCACAGGGCUGCGACGGCUUCCACCGUAGGGCCUCGGGCUGCCACGCCGGCCGCCACUACCUGUGCCUCCUCUAGGAGAGGCUGAGCGGCGCAAGGGCUUGGGCCCUGGGUGGUUGCGCCGGUGCGGUGACGGCGGCGGCGACAUGCGGCGCGGCGGCGUGCCGCCGCGGCCAGUGCCAGACCCCCCGCGCACUGACGGCGGCGGUGAACGCGACCGGCCCCGAGGCCGCUUGCAAGGCGGGUGGGCUUCAGUGUGCGGGUGCGUGUGCAGCGGGCCACGGGGCAGCCGGCCUGGGCUGGGUGACCGCCGUGUGCGCCAGUGCUCAGGGCUAGGCGACCGCCGCGUGCGCCGGUACUCAGGGCUGCGCGACCGCCGCGGGUAGCGGCGCUCAGGGCUGCGGGACCGCCGGCCCGGACGCGGCACCGGUGAGGCAGGGCGCGCCCGGCGCGGCGGCGAAGGCGAGCGGCGCCCGCGGCCAGACCCAGCAGAGCCGGUGCGGGGAGGCAGCGGCCCUCGGGGCCCGCGGCCUGGUGAACGGGAACGCGAGCGGGUCAAAGGCCGGGCCGGGUGGCGCGCAGAGGCUGAUGGGCGCGGCGGAGAUGGCCGCGACAGACCGCCUCUGUUGGCGGAUCCGCCUCCGCGUUCGUCGCCACGUUCGCCUCUGCGUUCGACUCCGCGUCCAAAGCCGCCGCGCUCGCCGCCUCCGCGUUCACCGCCGCCGCGCUCGCCGCCACCACCCUGGCCGCCGCCGUGCCCACGCUCGCUGCCAGCGCGAGCAGGCGCUGGCUGGGCCCUGCCUGGCGCCGCCGCGGAGGCCGCCGCGGGUGCAGGUCCUUUGCGUGCUGCUGGUGCAGACCCCGCGUUCGGAGCCGCCUUUGAUGUCUGGGCGGAUGGCGCCGGCUUGGCCGCCGGUGCUGCUGCUGCUGUUGCCGCCCCUGCCACCCCUGCCGCACCCGCCGCUGCUGGUGCGGACUUCGCUGCUGCUGGUGCCUGGUUCGCCGUCGGCGCCGUGAUUGCUGCUGCCGCUGGCUUUUGCGCCGGCGCCGGUGCCGUUGCGGCCGCAGGUGUUGAAGGCGGACCUCUUGCCGCACCAGGCGCUGCUAGUGGCGCUGCGGCUUGUGCCGCUCGCGCGGCUUGCCCCGCCUUCGCUGCCUUGGCGCCUGCCUUGGUCAGCGGUGCCUUGCCGGCUGCGCCCCUGGCCGCCGUGGCGGCGGCGCCGCCGUUCUGCUUUGGCGGCGGCACACUGCCUCCGGCCCCUCCUUUGCCACCCUGGCCUGUGUGCGCCACUCCAGCGGCCUUGCCCUCAGGCCUGCCGCCUCCCGAGCCACUAGCUCCACCAGCGCCACCAGCACCGCCAGCGCCACCGGCGCCGCUAGCACUACCCGCCUGCGCCUUUGCCCCCGCCAUCAGCGCCUUGAGGUGCACUUUCUGCUGCUUCUUGGCCUGCGCCUUGGCCUGCUGCCUUGCCGCCGCCGCCACGUUCGCGGCCUUGGUCAGCUCGCGCUCAAUUGCCUCUGCCCGCGCCUGUGCUUCCGGGUCCUCCAGUUCAGCCUCGUCACGGAGCGUGUGCCCCUCCAGCUGCACCACAGUCUUGGGUGUCGAGCGCGCGGCGUGCUGCGCUGCCGUCCGGAUCUUGGAUGCCACCUGCGAUAUCGGGUCGGUGGAAUGGUGGGUGUGGAAACAGAGGCCAGCAAGGGGUGGGCACCGUCAGGUGAGGCGAGACAAACGGGCAACGAUCGACGAAACAAAUGUGCAGAUCGCCUGAUUAGCUGGCUCGUGAACUGCGUCAGCAGGUCCCUUUGUAACCAAGCCAAUCUGAUUAGCCUUAGCCUGCCCAUGGACGCCACCCGCCACACCGUACCCGCAGGUCGGCCUCGGGCCACACGCCCCUCAGCGCCGCCACGUCCAUCGCACGCAGCACCACCCCCUGCAGCAGGCUGUGGGCCAGGGGGCUUUCGCCGAGGUCCCAGCGGACCCCACAGCCGCCGCCGCCGCCGCCCCAGCCGCGACCAUGGUGACUGCCACCGCCACCGCGCCUGCCACGCCCGCCGUUGCCGCCGCCAUUGUUGGCGGCCGGCUUGGGAGGAGUGAACGUGCCAGCGUACGAGCGAUACACCUCGUCAAUGUCGCUAGCCGCCGAGCCGCUGCGUUCCGUACAGAAGUACGGCCGCAGCACGUCGGCAACUGCCGCCAGCCAGCUGCCGUGCCGGCCCUGUACGGCAGGCAGCGGCUCCAGGUCCGCGGAGCGCUGUGCGCGCUGCUCGUACUCCCAGCGCUCCGGUUUGCCGGAUCCGUCGGCCGUACGGUAAAUGUCGCGCCGCCGCCGUUGCCGGGACCUGCCGUAGCAGUCCUGGAUGUCGUAAUAGCCAUCCCACCCGCCGUACGCCUCAAAUUCAUUGUACCAACCGUCGUCGUACAAGCUCUCCUGGCCGAGGAUGUCGGGAAUGGCUGCCGCACCGCCACCGUCACCGCCACCGCCGUCGCCGCCGCCCAAGUCAUCCAAAUCACUGUCACCGCGCUCGAUACGGAUGGCUUCGCCAAUCAGCCCCAUGCCUCCGCCACCGCCGCCAAAGCCGCCACCACCGAAGCCGCCGCCUCCAAACCCGCCGCCACCGCCGUAGCCAUCAUCCAACCCAUCAUCGAACGCGUCAAGCUCGUGAUCAAACUCAUCAAGGUGGUCGCCAAAACCGUCCUCGAAAGCGUCCAGGUCAUCGCUGCCAGCGCCAUACACAAUAGCGCCGCGAAGCGGCGCCUGCCGGCGGCGCCGCCACCGCUGCCCUGCGCGGCGAGCGCCGCCGCCGCCGCUGCCACCACCACCUGCACAACCGGCAGCGCCGCCGCCAGGGACCGAGGCGGCGUUGACCUCCCCAGGUCGCACCAGCGCAUCGUCACAAGACCGAUGCAGACCCUCGUACACAGACACUGAAGUGAUCCGCAGCCGCCAACCGCCACCGCUAGCCUUCUCGGCGCAGACAGCAGCCUCCUCGGCAGCCUGCCCCGACACCGGCGCUUCCGCCGCCGGCGCCGCCGCUUUCACCGCCGCUGCGGCCCCUGCAGGCUGCUCCGUGCUGCCGCCGCCAGCUCGCAGCCAGUUCUGCCGCUCGCCGGCCUGCCGCCACUCCUCCGCCGCCGCGCGGAUGACGCGAGCCCCCACACGCGCCGCCGCCGCCAGCCACGGCAGCGUCUCCACCACGCCCGGAAAGGUCUCUCCGGGCACUGCUACUGCCGCCGCCUCUGCUGCAGCCGCUCCUGCCGCUGCAGCUGCUGCCCCCGUUGCUGCUGCUGCUGCCGCCGAGGCCUGCUCCACGAUCCGCAGCGGCAGCAUGUUGUCGUACUGCGCCGCCACUCCACCCAACAGCGACAGCGGUGAUGCCCACACCCGGCUGGUGUGCGCCCCCACGCCGCCGCCACUCCCGCUGCAGCUGCCACCGGCCGCGCCGCCCCCACUGCGGCGGCCAGCGGCGCCAGGGCCGGCGGCGCCGCCGUUGCACGGCUUCUGGCCGUGGCCGGCAUCACUUGCCUUUUCGUCGAGAUCCGAAAUCGCCGCGAAGUCUUCCUCGGCCUCAACGGACUCCGCAGCCCAUCGGGCUUCAUCAAAAGAGGGGUAGGCGUGGAGGUGCGGGGGGUCCCAGAACGCCUGCGCGCCACAAACCCGGGAGAAAGUUGCUAGAUUAGUAGACGUAUACAACUGGUUCAGCGGGAUCCAUGCUAAGAAAUCGAGGGUGCCAAAAGCCGCGAGGUAGCCAGCAAUAAGCCAGUGAGUGCAAGCCGCGAGACCAAGAGCGCAAAGGCACGGCAUGGAUGCCGAUGUGUCUGUUCUGGCGUCAGGAUUCCUGGCGUACCUCAGCCAUGCAACAUGCUUUCACCCCACGCGAUCCACCUCACACUGCAGCGCCUGUACUCCCCUUCCUUGCGCCGCUGCAAACCCUUGCGCCUCCUGCACCCCGUGCGCCCGCUCCAUCCCCCUGGUUUGGUGUAAGGUAGAUUAGGCUGGUAUUUACAACCCCCUCCCGCUUGCAACUAACGCCUCUGCCUGCACUCCCCUCGUUUUCGUUGGUUUUGGUUUAGUUUGGGCUGGUAUUUACAGCCCCCCCCCCUCGCCCCUUACGCACCUGGCUGGCGGCUGUCGCGCAGUGGGGCGCGGGCGGCGGCGCCGUGGGUGCCAGCAUCAGCCGCACCGGGCCGCGAGGGUGGGCGGCCAGCGAGGCAGCCAGGUGCAGCGUGGGCAGCCGGCAGCUGACCUGCAGGGCGCACGUGUGUUUGAUUGUGUGUGUUAGGGAGAGCACGAAGGAAGGAAAAACGCAGGAUGGUGCAUGCGAGUGUUCGAUGUGGAUGGGUGGGGGGAUGGGUGUGUGUGUGUGUGUGUGUGUGUGUGUAUGAAAGCACAAGGUUGUGUGCAUGCGCGGUCGACGUCAUAAGGGGGACAACGGGGAGCAAACCCAGAGUGCGCGGGACUGCACUGCAAGCGGAGUAUAUUUGAAGAAUGGCUACAGGGUUGGGGACCACGGACUCGGCAUGGCAGGUGAGGUGGAUCACAACGCUCCGCGCGCACUCCGCCUUCUCCUCUCAAGUGCUCACCUCAAGCAGCUGCAGUGCGGGCGGCAGCGGCACCGCAAUCAUCUCCGCCGCAAGUGCCGCCAGCUCCCUUGCCUCCUGAGUCGCCUCUUCUGCAUCAGUAGCUGCCACCGCAUGAGUCUCCGCAGUCUCCGCAGCCUCCUCAGCAGCUGCAGCAGCCUCCGCAGCAGCAGCCUCCGCAACAGCAGCAGCAGCCAUCUUCUCUGCUUCUGCCUCGGCGGCUGCGUCUGCCUUGCCCUUGCCCUUGCCCUUGCCCUUGCCCCUGCCCCUGCCCCUUCCUCCUCUGCCUCCCUUGCCUCCCCUACCUCCCUUGCCUCCCCUGCCUGCCUUGCCUCCCUUGCCUUUCGCCACCUCGGCAGCUUUGGGCUCUGCAGUUCCACCAGCAGCGCUACCACCACCACCCCUGCUUCCUCCGCCCAGCGCGCCGUGCCCGCCCACCAGCCUCGGCCGCUGCGCGAAGCCGCCGGCGCCGCCGCGCAGCCCGCGGCGCUCCCACCAUCGCGAGCAGUGGGCCACGCCGGGCGUGGCUAGCCCCAGGGCGCUGAGGCGUGUGAGGCAGACCAGGCUGGAGGCCAGGUGGGGCAGGUCGGAGGCACGGACGUGCGCGCUGGGCAGGUCCAGGUGUACCAGGCGUGUGAGGCACACCAGCAUGGGCGCCAUCACCCAGGACCUGUGUUCGUUGUGUACGUUUUGUUCGGUUGGUGGUGGUUGGUUGGUUGGUUGGUUGGAUGGUUCGUUUGGCGGCGCGCUCGCGAUGUCCAGACUCGGGAAGGAUGGGUAAGAAGCCACCGCAUGAUACAUGAGCCGGUGUGGCAAUUGCACGGCACAACAAACCUGGCACGGAUGUGAUACAGGCCAGACGAACACAGCAACCUGAGUAGCACUCCGCUCUGACAGAUUUGGUGACAGUCAGGACUCAGGAGUAAUGACACAUACAAGUCGCGCGCAAACAGUUGCUAAAGCUUCGCUCACAGGAAGUAGUGGUGUGUGGGCCGGAAGCUCCACUGCGGGCGCACGUCCUCGUUUGAGGGGCAGAUGAUGUCCAGGCGAAGGGUCGCGAGGGAGGUCAGGUCGUGCAACCUCUCCAGCUCCUGUCGCGAGUGUUCGGCAGUUCACACGGCGGGGCCGUAUGUGGGGAGGGCGGGCUGUCGAUUCCAAAAGAAAUUCAAAAUACCGUAACCGAGACGGAGGGGGCUGUAAGGAAGCAAGGAUGUGCAUGGAUGCAGGUCAAGCGCGAGGGGGAUGUGGUGCAAGGACAGAGAGACGGUUAGUAGCGUAUGGUAACCCGGGAUCGAUCCUGAGGACUUCGGGAAGAGACAGGCCGUACACAAGCAGAGGCCCAUACAUGCACAGCAUGCUGGUUGGGCAUCACCGCUACAGAGCUAUUGCGACCGCUGCUGUUGCCCCGCUAUGGUACCCACCUCCUCAGGCCGGCGCACACCGAAGUGAUACAUGUCGUUGGGCGCGCUCUGCAGGUCCAGGUGUGUCAGCCCCGGCAGCCGGGCCAGAGCCACGACAGUCGUCUCCGCUGAGGCGUGGAACGACAGGGAUACGGCAUGAGACGUUUGAACAUGCCCGGCCCAGAUCCACCUCAACAAGGGAGGCCUCCAAUUCAAGGCCAGCAGCUAACACACGCGCACACACGCACGCACGCAUGCAUGCGCGCGCACACGCACACACACACACACACAUACACAUACGCACCCGAAACGGGGAAGAGGUCCUGCCAGGGGCCCCAGGUCGCGUCGUCCUCAUCGGGCGUCAGGCCGUUGAGCAGCGCGCUCAGCCGCAGCCGCCGCAGCCUACAACCACGGUGAGGAAGUCAGGGGGACGGAGAGGAGCGGGCGGAUUGACACAAAGUCAUACAUAUGAGAAAUGUGUUUUCGGAGCUCCGGGCAGCACCACGUUGCACUCGGUGCGAUUGCGGACUAAGGCCGUGUAUCACCCCAGAUGCAAUAUGCGCCGGGAGCUAGCAGGCAGCCUAUCAACCGCAACCGCAACCGCAACAGUCCGGCCAGCCGGCAAUGCCAAACCCAGCCUCAGUGACAAGACCGAAUGCUCCCAGAACUACACUGACGCCUGGCUACCAGUACAGUGUGCCCCAACUCUGCCACCCCGCCACGGCCAACCUGGCAAAGGUGGUGGCGACGUCGGCCCCCGCAAAGCAAGGCGGCAGGCGCCUGUUCCACCCGCAUGCCAGCUCCAACUCCGUCAAGCCAGGGCCCACGGCACGGAGUAGCGGGUCCGCCGCGCGCUCCUGUGUAUGUGGGACGCAUUUAGUUGGUUACGGGACAGCUGCAAGGGGACUGUGGAACAAGAGGAGCACUGGGCGUCAGCAGACGAAACCAUGCCGGGUUGUGCAAUCUGAACGGGCCAGUUUCCACAGAAGUGUGGUGACUGCCCCAGCAAGUGGGGUUGCAGCACUGGGCAUGCCGCACUGAGUGGCAUACACACCUCAUCGCUUGCGUCCAGGUGGAGACUGAGGGAUGUGAGGUGCGGCAGCGCGGCCGCCAGCUGCACCGCCCAGCCGCCAUCGCGUCCCGCAUCCACCGCAGCCGCCGUUCCCUCGCCGCCAGCAGCAACCAGCGCCUCGCCGGCAGCACCGCGGCCUCCGCCUGCACGCCCUCGGACGCCACGGCCGCGCCCGCCGCCCCUGCCGCCUCCUGGCACACCCGCUGCCUCCGCCGCCGCGGCACCUUCAGCGGCUGGCGCCGCAGGCGCAGGCAGGCCCAGGGUUGGGCUGAAGUGGAAAUCCGGCCGAGAGGCCUGGGCCCAGACCGUUGGCGACCCGCCCUUGCCCCACUGGUUCGGGGUCCAGGGUGCGAGUCGCGGCAGGUGCGCCAGAUGCACAGCAAGCCGCGUAAGCCAGCAGCCGCCGAAGUGCUGGGCCACCGGGAGCCUUGGGUGAGGUGGAGCAUGACAAACGUCACAUAGGGAUGAUCAUGAUCAUGAUAGUGAUGAUGUGUAGCGAGUGGGAUGUAGUACGGAGGUAAGCGGGUCAACCGCGCCCGUGGCUCGCAUACGUGGGGAUCCGGGCUUGAUACCUGUAACCACAACCCUGCCAGCCACGGUCCCCGCCAGCACGGCCCGACGCGGCUUUCGCCCCCCCCCGUGAUAAUACGUGCGUUAAUCCACUCACAGUAUAGCAGAGGCAGGCAGGUUGUAGUCGCAUUGCAACUCCACCUCGGUCGGGUGACAGCCUCGGUCCAACAAGGUCGCCAAGCCUCCCAGCACCAGGUCGAUGGCUUUGCUCUUGCUCUUCUCCAAAACCUUCCGGAACGCUUCCCUCUCUUUCUUAAUGGAUCCCUCCGACAGUAGCGGCGCCUGGCCAGAGCGAAGCCUAACGCGCGUGCAUGAGGAGAAGAAGACUGUCCGAGCCGCCCUACAUGUCGUCGCUAGCCGUGCGGCACUGGCUGCAUCUAGGCGACGGUAGAACUCGGGAAAAGCAACCACAACGUCCACCAGGCACUUCUCGUCGCCGGCCAUGUUGCGGUUUCACCGUCUUCUUUUAUUCACCGCAUUGAUUUAUUUGAUUUUGCUUGUAAUCAGCAUACAUAAUCGCCUGUUGAAGCAUAUACACGCAGCCUCGCACAUUUGUGGCAAUUUCCUAUGUCACCCGCGCGAGUGCUAACUGCUAAGUCUCAGGGGACCGUUGAUAUCUGCCCAAUUGUGUUGAACGCAGGUAAAUGUACUGAUUCACGUGAACCGGGGGGAUGGGUUGGGCACGGUAACACGGUAACAGCCACGGUUGCUGCAGUUGCCGGGAAUGCAAAGGACUGGCCGGGGACGCGGAUGCGACCGGAUAAACAGCGCAUGUCGGCGAGCCUUGCAGUACCGGUAAUUCUCGCCACUGCAGGCUGCUUUGCAGCAGUGUCAGCAGCGUCCGAAUGACAGGGCUUGCAUCUUCGGGGAGCAGCGGGGGAGCGGCAAGAACACGAUUCCACGAUUGCAGGCCCUCGGGCAAUUCCCAGGCUUUCCGGGGGUGAAUUUUCGCCGGGGCUGAAUAUGGUCCCCGAAUCUCACAAACUAUGUCAACUAUUCCUUCCCGGGGGAUGGGGAGGCAUUUGGGGCCCCUUGAUGCCGUACACGAGGAAAGGGUCCGGGCCAGCGCCUGCCCCUUGAAGAUGCACGCCCUGUCACUGAGCUGCUUCCGCCUUCCUGACUUCCUGUAACCUAGGGCUUGCAUAUCCAGGUGCAGGCGCUCGGCCGGAGCGAGAAACAGCCAAACAGGGACAGGCAGGAUUGCGGACAGAUUAUGAUCCGGCGCAGGCACAUUAUGUCGGACUAGGACACAGUAAGGCUGUGAGUCGCCAGCUGUGUUCACGCCAAUAUCAAGAUGGCCACACGCCCUCGACGCACCACUGUCAUGCUGUGACGCAGUGACUAAGAGCCAGCAGGCGUCGUCAAAUCUUGCGCCAGCACAAGAGCCCCUCUACCCCCCACCUUACGGGAUUGGUUCAACGUUAACCCCCCCCCCCCACACACACACACACACACCGGCGAAUGCUGGCGCAAGAGCGUUGGCCGUAUCACCCGUCUAUUUCCGGUGCAGGGGCCCAUGGAGGGGCUCGGUGCCUGGACACAACAAGUGAACAGUCCUCGCUUUACAGCAUUUCAUGCAGCAUAAUAGGCGAUGGCCCGCAACAAGCCACGUAUGUCUUCAGCAGGGGACAUCGUCUGGAAGAACCCGAGGCCGCAGAACCACGCGGGUCAACGCAACCCGAUCGCAUUCUACCUAUGACAACAAGCAGCGAGAACUGUCUGAGUGCAGCUAGCGGUUGGCGGCAAGUGGCUUGGAGGAUCACACCAUAGAAUGUAUGAAUACCCUCACGGCGUCACCUCACUCCUCUGAUGCUUGCGCACUUAGCGCCGCAUCCACUCCACACCUUACCGCGCCACACAUCACGCAUGCCCGCACAACAGACAACCGUCAGCAACGAAAGGCUAGGACACGGCUAGCCAGGGGCGCGGCCUGCACACGCGCCCUUUAGUGCCGUAUGCACACGGUGACCCACCAAAACACACAGACGCAGGGACAAAUGCAAACGUACUCCUGCACCACGUUCCACAAGUGUGACAUAGCCAGCUUGGGCUUUGUAGGUUUAAUAGAUAGCAGCUCUAGAGGACUGUCGACGUAAUGCGGCGGUUGCCGCUGUAGGUAAAGCCCUCCUGCGCCAAACAGCGUUCCCUAACACUCGUUUCAGCUACGGGCCCCUUACAUACGCGCCGCGGCCUUUCAUGGGCCUAUUCGUGCGUUAAGGGGCCAAAAACCAGAAUAUGGUAGCUGAGCGUGUGGAUGAAUGAUGCGAUGCGUAAAGACUCACAGUUGCGCAGCGGUCACAUAGUACCUCUCACGCGCCCAACGGUCAACCAAACGCGUAUAAGGCAUUGACGACGCCCUGUGACGAAUAACCCGUAGCGAGUAAGCCAACCUGCUCAAUGCAGCUGGCGUACAACAGACAGCCAAGGCUGUCUGCAGCGCCGCUGGCCAACACGUCCCCCAACAGCAACAUUCAUAUUUAUACCUGGCAUUACUAAUACCACAAGCUCUGGCUGUACGCGCGCGCAGUACGGAAGCCGCGGCUGCGUGGUGAAGACGAUGUACUUUAUGCACGCACGCAAUGAUCGUCACGUAUCACAGGAAGCCAAAAUCUUGAUCGGGACCCUUGUGUAACCUGCUGGGUCCCUUUGGCAUAGACACACGCACACGCAUUGACACGCGCACUUGUCACAGGCACAGUAUGAUUUGAGCACACGCAUACUAAGAAUCGCUCGCUUAGAUGAUGUUGGCAGGGCAGCACUUGUUGUCGCUGCUGAAGGCGUUGGCCUGGCACACGCCCUUGUAGCAGAAGGACGAUGUGGAGGCACAGCCGCCCGCGCGCACCGCCCAGCACAGCGUGGAGCCAGCCACGGGGCUCAGCCUGUGUGGAGGGAUUGCAUGUGUGUGUUAGAGGGCACAAGGAAACAUACAUGCCCGUGCACGAGUUUGCGCAUGCGUGCAGCAUGUGCGUAGUAAGGGGUUGAGCAGGCGUGGCAGUGGUGGCACGUUAAGCCAGAAGUUGACGUGGCGAUCCUCGCCACGUGCGUGUGCAAGGGGCCUCAGACCUACAGUGACUGCCCGUCGUGACAGUUGCCGAAGCAGCAUGAUACCCUGCCCAAACCACGCGGCCCCUUUGUGCAUUAUAAAUUGCUGGUCCCAGCUACUCACUUGCUCAGGCCGGUGAACUUGAGGGAGGUAAACUCGCUGUAGAACUGCCAGCUGUAUGCCUGCCUCUCACCGUUGACGGUGAUGUACCGCAGGUCGGAGCGGCAGGCGGUGUUAACGAUCAGCUCCACCUGCGAAGCAGUGAGUGUUGGGUUGUGUGCAUGGCCUUUUAGACACAGCAUACGGUACAAAUCCGCUAGCGCAGCGUGGUCUGCCACAAAGCUUCUAUCACUCUUAUACGCAGAUGUACUCAACGCACCUUGGCGAAGUCCAUCCUGCAGCAGGCCGAGCUCGCGGAGCAGCUCUGCGACUUGACCGUGGUGCAGAACACCUGCACCGGGCUGCCGUUGGUGUCGGUGCCGGAGCUCUGGGUGAUAGCGUCCAGGAUGAAGGGCACGUUGGUGGUGGACUGGGGGCAGGUGUGGGUCUGCACAGGGCGGGCGGGGAAAAGCGGGGGAAGAGGAGCAGGUUAGGCAAGCGCCCACACCACCAGUUGUAAUCCGCACGGGCAUCCGUGCGUGACUGUGUGCCAAGAUCGCGAUGAGGAAGGGAUAGGUGCGCCACCAGGAGACGCGCGUGGCACACUGACGAGUAAUACCAUGCCCUGCGUCUACUGUGUCUGCGCUGGCGCUGGCGCACACACCUGCACCAGCUGCACGGGCGGCGGCGGCGCGGGGGUGAGCUCGGGGGCGCAGGCGCUGCUGCUGGUGCCGCUCAGGCAGUCGGGCGAGCCGUCCACGGGCUCGAUUGUCGCGAGCAGAGUGUAGCCCGACAGACGGGGCGGGCAAGACUCGCCGCCCUGCGAAGAGGGAUGCGCGAGACAGAGAAAGCGCGGUCAGUUACAUGCAGACCGGAGGGCUGGGAGCUAUGUGAUGCAAUCUUUGUCGGCCCUGUCGGCCAUCCAUUGCCUCAUAGCAGCCGCAAACAAUCCAAAACAGUUCUCACCUUGACCUCCGACAGAAUGAGCUCCAGCAGGUCGUUGAUCUCGUCCUGCAGCAGCGCGCCGUCCUCUGCCGACAAGAAAGUGCCGCACACCUGUGAAAUCGGGCGCGAGGGAGUCGACUGUCAAGUCAAGCUUCGGGCAUCAGUCAUUGGCAGCUUGGCGUCCGCAGGACUGAUAGGAGCUCACCAGCAACCAAAAGAACCACAAAACAAGGCGUCACUCCCAGCUUUGUACUCACAACGACGCUGGGGUUCUGGGCGCCGUACUCAGUGAUGCAAUCGCGGUACUCGAAGGGCCACACCAUACGCGCGUCGGCGUCCUCGGCAGCAAUGUUCAGCGUGUCCGUCAUGAUGUUCGCGACGUCCAGGCAGUUGGGCAGGCCGGCUGCACCGGUGUUGCCCCAGGUGGGCUUCUGGCCCGGGCGCGUGACGGCGGGCGGGAUGAUCUGAACUGCGGGCGGGGAAGCGCGGGGAGGGGGAAACGGGUCUAAGGUAAGGGCGAUGGAAAUUAGCCGGAAGGCCGGGACAGCGACAUGACAGUUGGCAGGACGCGGUAAAGAGAAACCGGUCCAGUCAAGGCAUGAGCCGUGAGAUGGUGUACUGUUUUAGGGGCUGAAAGUGUGCAGGGCUAGGACCUAGAGAUGAGGUGAAGCGGGAGGGCUGUUGGAUUAGAGGUCACAGGACACAACGGGAUCUUACCCGAAGCGCACACCUCGCACGGGGGAGGGGGCGAGGGAGGAGGCGAGUGGGGAGGGCGCGGAGGAGGGGGAGGAGGAGGCGAGNNNNNNNNNNNNNNNNNNNNNNNNNNNNNNNNNNNNNNNNNNNNNNNNNNNNNNNNNNNNNNNNNNNNNNNNNNNNNNNNNNNNNNNNNNNNNNNNNNNNGGGCGAGGGAGGGGGAGGAGGAGGGGGCGAGGGAGGGGGAGGGGGAGGGGGCGAGGGAGGGGGAGGGGGAGGGGGCGAGGGAGGGGGCGGAGGAGGGGGCGAGGGAGGGGGAGGAGGGGGCGAGGGAGGAGGAGGGGGAGGAGGCGACGGGGGAGGGGGCGAGGGCUUGGCGGUGGGGGGCACGGGGCAGAUGGGGCAGUACUUGGUGUUGGAGGACUCCGCCAGAGAGUACCUGAGUUCGUGAGGGAUAAUUGUGUGUGCCGAUGGAACUUAGCCGCGGAAACGCAUGUGGACCUGUGUGUCCGCCAUGCUUUCCCCUGCGCCUGCCCCGCUCCCUCCCACCGUGCCCUCCAACCAUGCUUCCGACCCCCUGUCACGCACUUGCAGUUGCCGCCGUCAAUGUCGCACAGCUCGGCCAGCUUGUUGCACUGGGCGCCGGUUGUGACGCAGAUGCGGGUGCCGGGGAAGUUGUUGCUGUUGGUGCCGUCCAGGUCGUAGAUGCGCAGCUCAUAACCGUAGUCUGAGGUGUUGGGGAGGGGAGGACAAGCGGCAAAGGAUAAGGAGGAGGCCACGAAUAGGAGGCCGCAGGAGGCCAUUGGCUGGACUGUGGGGCUGUACAUUCCUCUGGUGAACGGGAGCGGCCAGCAUCCGUGCUUCCACACGCCCGCAUCCUGACCUUCCGGCCGUGUCUCGUCGGCUGCUCCUGCUUCUGCCUGCGCUGCGCUCCGCGAGGCUCCCCCCCACCCCAACUAAGCAAACUCACCGCCGUUGCCCAGGGCCCAUUCGCGAGUCUCCCAGCUGCGCCACAGGUUACCCGAGAUCUCCACCCUGGUGACGCCGCCGUUCUUCUUCUGGCAGGCAGCCGCUGUCAUUGUUUCAACACGUGACACAGGAUGAAAGAACAGAAGACGUACUUAUUCACAGGUACGUCUUAUGGGGCAGGCGUGCAGGUUAGAUCUAGCUAGGCUGUCAGCCGGACAGGCAGGCGAGGCAGCGGACGGCGGUGAUCGCAGUGGCAAAGCCGCUCUAAACCGCCGGUCACAGCGGCUGGCGCUUCGCCCAGUCGUUUCCGCACCCGCGCCUGACCAAGGGUGCUGGUUACAAGCAAUACAACCUGUGACUUACAAGUGGUGAAGGCAAUCUUGUCGACGUUAGCCUUCAGCGCAUUGCAGCAUGGGCGGUUGGUGGGGCAGCCCAGGUAGCCUAUCUGGUAGCAGAAGCGCUUGCCACCCACAACCUGUGUGGUCAGGAUGUCGAGAAUUGAAUUGCAAGCACGGCGUGUGAGGACACAGGCUAGACCACGUGCACGGGCGGCCAGGCGCCUCCAUGAGGCCCCAUCCGGCGGUGAGCCCGGCUGUAGACGGGAGGCACGGGUGUAAGGGCAGCUGCAUAUGCGCGUGUGCUUGUGUGGCACGAGGUCUGGUUUGCGUGUGCUGACGGUCGCAACGGGCAUCUGCCAGGCUUAACUUUGGCUCAGCCUACAUCUCAGCCCCCCGAUAAUCCUCACGUUGAUUGUGAUUCGGUCCAAGGGGGAGGCCGCGGUGGGGCCUAUAGCCCCGGCUACUGGGUGUUCCUGGGUAACUACGCAUGCAAGAUGUAGCAGACCAGACCCCACAUCAAGGUGCCAGGCAGCCUAGCUGCACGUGUGUGUAACGCACCCAGACUCACAUUUGUUACGCUCGCCAUGGUCACAUUGUAGGGCGAGCAGGCGCAGUCGUAGACAUCGCACGAGCAGUAGGGGAACCGAGGGGUCGCCCCCAGCAGCUCACGGGCCGAGCCGCGAGCCAGGGUCACGCCAAGCUCACCGGCGAACGCGGAGCCUGCAUGCCAUAACACGGAACAAGCGGGCGGCUCAAAAUCGAAGCAAAUGGGUGUGUGGGUGGCCACAGCAGUCAGCCCAACGUGGGAGGGCACAGCAGUCGGAGUAACGAUACCACCAGUACAUAUCUGAGUGAGCCGAUGAGGAACAAGCCGCUGAAAUAGUAUUAAGGGCAAAACAAAGCUAGACAAGGCUGACUACGCGCCGGGUGAGCAAACGAAACUGCGCGAAAGUCGGGCUGUCACCCGGUCGGCACCACCGCUCCGGCAAGCGAUGUUGAAUGUUAUCACCGCUAGUCGUUUCGUUUCAUUCUUUGGGUAAGCGGAGCGAGCGGUAUGACUGCGGUGAACGUGCCGCCGGUGCGCCCAUUUCGUUUCUUAGUAUCCGCAGUAAUCGCAUUCGGUUGAACUUGCGGGUGAUAACUCACCCGCAAACAGCAGCACCGCAAAGGUGAUGAACGCGCGGGAAGCCAUGAUGCCAACUUAUUGACAACCUGCGGCAACAGUGAGUAGCGCGACGGAACAAGAGAGUCAAUUUGGAGGCAUCAGUAGGGUAUGACUGUUACGGUUGCGCUAGCAGCAAGCGUGGCAAGCGACGCCUGUCAUGAAUGGCGCGCGAAUUGGUAGCGCGCUGGUGAGUACCGGCCGGAAUAGCAGCUGCAUAGCAAACGUUUAGUGAAGCCAACUAGGCCAGAGAUCGGGGACAUUUGACUCGGCUGGGCUCUGCUUGGGCUGUGUAAAAGUCUUGCGCCGCUGCCGCACACGCGCCUCAAGUUAUAGUUUCGCCCAUACCAUCAGCUCCAAAUACAGUAUCCGUGCUCACUUACCCGACUUUGUCAGGUUCAACGGCUAGUCCUUGGCCUCGGACCUGCGUCCAGAAGGGAUGCCGCUGUCUGGGCGCAGCUCAAACAAUCCAAAGUCUUCAUGACGUGCUUGACUGUAAACAGGCUCACCAGAUGCAAGAAGCAACUGCAACUUCUGACGUCGCAGACCUUCACAAGUAGUCCUGCUCUAGAAGAGACUCUCGGGCAACGUCUCAGCCCGCUGAGCUCUUUGACGAGCUUCACCUAGUACAAGCAAGCGCACGGCGCUGCUUUUGUGUACUCCAGAGGCUAGUCGCGACUCCUAUGGGCACGGCGAUGCGCAAAGUCGACGCGCCGUACGCCGUUCCAGGCAGGUUGCUAUGCCGUGGCUGUUACCGACUGAGCAAUAAGUAGGUAUUGCCGGCGCUGGUAGCUGAACUUAAGCGCUAGGCAAACGAGCCAACCGUGGAGCCUAAACUUUCAAACGACAGUGCCCAACGAGUCUCUGAUCACUACAUUCAAAGACAUAGGACUAUGGCUAUGCAUUUUCGUUGUGUCUGCCUUUUGAGCUCGGGCUAGUGGUCGUCGCUUCCUUCUAGGGCUCCUGGCGCGGUGCGCGCAGGCGGGCGCUCGCCGGCGGGGAACGUGGGCCAGCGCAAAAAGCAAGCAAUUCAUAAGUUCUAGUCUAAAGCUUACCAGGUUCUGGCUUUUUAUGUAAUCGCGGCGAUAAUUUAUUGGCGCGUUAGACUGCUUCGCGCUUGACCGGCCAGAGAUUGCGUCGGCGCUGGUCGGCGUAAGGGCAGAAGGCGCGUCAGCGACAACCUGGGGAUACCCUGCACGUGGUUCAUAGAUAUCAGAAGGGAUCUGGGCCGCGAAACGCAACCUUACCGGCGCCCGCCACCUCCCCAGCUCCUACCUCUUCGCCUGCUACCGUCUUCAAAAGCCCUCCCUUCAGGUCCGCAGCCUUCCCUCUAGCCUUUCGCGGGGCCGUUGGCUCCUCCCCUCCUCCAACUAACUACUCGCUCUUUGGCGUCUUCCACACUCCGCAUUUCCCCGUACACCAAGCACUGCCCGUGGCUGAAGGGAGAGUGCGGUCACCAGGCCCGAAGGUCCCAAACCAGGGGUGCGGGGUGGCCAACUCGCCCCAUGUGAUCGGCAACGGCCGGCAACCGCCCCCAAUUCCCAGUUGCGACCAGGCCCCGGCCCGAUUUCUUUGCAUAGACCUAUAAGGAGUACCCCAUAGAUGACCCUUGGCGCGUCGGGCGACUAUGAAACGGUGGCCGAAUACAUGCUUGUCGACGCAAAUUUGAGUCUCGGCUUGGAGGCAGGAAAAGUUGCGCGAUAGCAAUCUAUGGCCUUGUUAUGUAUUGGAGGUCUGAAGAAUCUUUGUUUCAGGUCUCCGGGUGCCUACUGCAGGCAGAGAGGGGCUUCCAUGCGCACGGCGAGGUGCAAUUCUGAGCCUAAGUUCGAAAGCAGGACUGCGCAAUAGCAGCCGCCAGCACUACUUUGACCUUGACAUGUCAAAAAUCAGUUUGGGCGCAUAACACAACUGGGGCCGGGCCAGGACGGCCUUGCCCGACGCUGCUAGCGUCAUGCUGGCUGUUGGCAAGCUCGUUCUUCCCCGCCUCGCUCUCCCUUGGAGCCCGGGAGCAUCUAUAGAUGGAAAUAUAGUUAGUGCCGGUGGAUCAGGGGUGAAAUGUGCGCCCCGCGCGGUCCAGGCACCAAUUCUAGGCGCCUGAAACACCCGCGACGACUUUUUAUACGCGUUUCUCACGCUUGCGUAUCCCCCGGUACAUCAUCCACUUCGUUGCCUAUCCUAGAUGAUUCCUAGGGCUAUGCGAUCUAUUAGUCUAUGCACACAAGUGACAUCCUUAUUGAAACAAGGGUAUAUCUCGCGUUUUUGAUCCUCCAAGGGGCUAAUUAUGCAUGAAUGAUGCCAUACAUAACAUCCAUGCAGUUACGGCUGCUACUUUUGGGCGUUCGCGCUUCCCGGCCCCCUGUCACCCGGCCUUUCACCUCCGCGACGACUUUGUGCAGUCGGCGAUGGCUCUAUUGGCAUGGCAAUUGCCUCAGGUUUGCCCCUAUGUAUCUUAAAUGAUUCCUAGAACUUGGGACACCAAAAAUGAGAGGGAAGCGGCUUAAUGCAAGUUCAGUUCAACCCUGCGGCGAGUAGAUUUACAUUCCAACAGAAUAAUUGAGCUGAGGACGGAUGAUAAGCAACGUCGCAGUUGCAAAGCUCCUCUUUUGCCCUGUGGCAGCUUUCUGCCGCCAUGAGCAUUGCCCACAGCCUCGAAGCUUAAAAGCCCCCUCCUGAGCACCUCAUCUUCUUCCUUUUGCUAAUAGAGCAUGAUCUGGCGCGCCAAGCGCGUCACCAAGGUGGUGCACGCAGCAAUGGCAGAUGAAAUAUUGCUCUGUUGUCGGAGGCCUUAUUUUAGUCGCCCGACGCGCCAAGGGUCAUCUAUGGGGUACUCCUUAUAGGUCUAUGCAAAGAAAUCGGGCCGGGGCCUGGUCGCAACUGGGAAUUGGGGGCGGUUGCCGGCCGUUGCCGAUCACAUGGGGCGAGUUGGCCACCCCGCACCCCUGUCCCAAACUGCUAGUGCAACGGAUACGCGUGCGCGUGUUUGCCUCCGUGCCAGAGGCAGUGAGGCACGUCGCAGGCGCCAGGCGGCCUCUCAGGUACUUGGUCUCAAAGCGGUGUCAAUUAGGAAGAGGCGGCAAAACGAGACAGGCAUACCAGAGGACCCGUUCACUAGGCUGGACGGCUGACCUGGACGGCUGACCUGCACACUACGUGCUGUGCCUGCGGCCUCUGCAGGUGCGAAGGGCGGUACGAAGGCAAUGGCCAAGGGCGGCAAGGACGAGAACGGCAAGUCCAUCACCGCCAAGAACAUGGGUGAGUCCAGCGCAGUGGCCGGGCUCGUGUGUGGACCGGGGCGGCAAGGGAAUGGAGCAAGAGACGGGGUAACGCAUACUCGCACCUUGACGGCUGACCUGCACACUACGUGCUGUGCCUGCGGCCUCUGCAGGUGCGAAGGGCGGUACGAAGGCAAUGGCCAAGGGCGGCAAGGACGAGAACGGCAAGUCCAUCGCCGCCAAGAAUUUGGGUGAGUCCAGCGCAGUGGCCGGGCUCGUGUGUGGACCGGGGCGGCAAGGGAAUGGAGCAAGAGAUGGCUGACCUGCACACUACGGCCUCUGCAGGUGCGAAGAUGCAUGGGGCACGGGGCCACAUUUCAUGGCAACCGCUAUUCCUACUCGUGGAUGCCUGGUUGGAGGAGAACUGCGGGCCAGGGCGCCGCCCUCAUGGGAUAUGGGAGAAGGUGCUGGCGCACUUGCGGCAACUGCCUGAUGGCGCCCACCUCCCGCCCUCCAUCACCGGCGCCAUUCUGAAGAAUCGCUACAACACCAACAAGUACAAGAAGGAGAAGAAGGAGAAGGAGGAGAAGGAGGAGGAGGAGGAGGAGAAGGAGGAGUGAUGGGUGAUGGGACAAGUGGUGAUGGUGAUGUGAUGGGCAAGUCCUCAGCGAACAAUCCUGACACCAAAGAUUAUAAGUGCGACUAUCCUCGGAAAAUGUAAGGGGCGGUGUGGUAUUCGUUGAAGACAGGGGGUGGCGGGUGCUUAGUACGGUAUGCGAGUCAGCAUCAGCUUCGGUGGCGAAGCCUGAAGGAGGGGCAUGACUCAAAAGUUUGGGUUUUCGUUUUCGAUCAUGCAAGUAGCGUGCAAUCUGCAGGCGAGUCGGUCCAGGGGGCGGGGCUUGGGGCAGGCAUGGCUGAGAGGGGAAGGCUGGGCGCCGGGCAGGCUCGCGGAAGUCCAUAGGGCACUUGUCCUGUCCUCCCCAGCCGCCCGGCCUAGGUCCGGAGCUAUUUAGGUUGAUCCUGUCUUAGCGCUAUCCCUCUUACACCGUCCUGAGUGGUCGUCUGUCCUAUCAACACAUCAUUCGCAUGUGGGGACACCGCGUUGGCGAGAGCCCCGGUCCACAGAUGGCCCUAACACACCAUGGGGGCAUGUCGCACCCGUGGAGGGCACUGUAAUCAGCUGCCCUGCCUGACCCAUUCUUGGCACCACCUCGACCUGCCCCACACCCAACUGCCCCAGCCCGCUCGUCUGCUACUGGCGCACAGCCCCCCUACGUUGACGCAAAGUCCUGGUCCCAUGCGAUGUAGCGCGCAACCUGCUCCGGGGAAACGGAAGGCCGCAGCGCUGCCCGCGCCGCCGCCAGGUCUGCCGCUGUCACCACCAAUCCGCGUGCGAGCUCGCCACUGUCCGCCAGCCGCCGUAGGUCAGCCACCGAGCGGAGCCGCGGGGGUGCCGGCGGCGCUUCCGCCGGUGCCGUGGACGCCGCCGACCUUCCGGAAGUGGGGUGCUGCGCCGCAUGUGGCUCUGAUGCUGCCGCAGGCUCGAGAUCGGAAUGAGGUGGAAUGGAGAUGAUGGUGCCAUUGUUGACACGCCUUCUGUCGUGGGUGGCUAUCUGUCGCCGCAGGGGCGCCAUGGCGGCCUCCCUGUCGGAGGGACAGAGGGGGAGCGGAGGGGUGGGGGUGAGGUCCACCCAAAUAGACCAGAGGGGAACGCACCUCCGGGCUCUAUUCCGCGGCAGAGCGAAAGCCUCCGGCGCACGACCGUGCAGCUGUGCUCUAGCAGAAUCACAGCACAGAAAGCACAAAGGGCCCGACAUCGGAGCCACAUCGCACAACCAAGCCCCCGGCCCGACGUCCGGGCGGGCUGCUGUGCCCGUACCCACCCUGCGCAGUUGGAUAUGGAUCUCGUAACCCGCACGACAGGCUGCAUUCCGGGCAGUCCAGACAUUCCCAUCAGUUGGACUCCCGGCACCAUGCAAUGCACCUGCACAUCAGCCGGAUGUCGGCGCCGCUCAGCCCCUCGCAGGCGGUUGCCACCGUCGCCAGGUCCACAUCCGCCGCCAGGCUAACGCCGCGGAGGUGCAGCCGGAGCAGCGCCAGUCGUGCCGCGGCGUCGGGCAGCCCAAUUAGGAUACGCUUCUCCAGCCGCCUGCAUGGGAGGGGCGACGGUCAAUGCCCAAGCCCAAGGGAUAGGCCCCGUCAUCAGCGGUUCAGGUCCGUCCGUGGCGUGAGCAGGGGGUGGAGGGCUCGGCCGCCGAUAUCCAGCACAGGUUACAGGUGACGUUGCUCAGGCUUGGCGUUUGCGAGUGAGUUGCAGGCGGCACAGACACACCAAAGCGGCCUUCGGGCCUCAGACUCAGGUUGCAUGCGCCUCAAGCACAUCAGCCAAUCCUCACCUCCGCAGUGCUGGGUCCAGGUCCCAGGGGCAAUUGGUGGCGGCGAGCAGCAUCACGCCACGGCCGCUGCACAUCCCAUCUAACUGCACGGAGGACAGUGGGUGAGGCGGUGAAAGUCUGGCGUCCUGGCAAGAAGGCCCUCGCGACAUACGCGAAAGCCGUUACCGGAGACGGCAGUCACACGGCCCAGCUCCUUUUAAACUAAUGUGUCUCCGAGAGCCCGCUUAACUCAAGCAGCAGCAACAAACGCACCCCCUCGCUCCCACCUGCUGCAGCAGCUCAGCUUUGAAGCGGCGACUGGCCUCGUGCUCACCCUCCGAGCCGCGCGCCGAGCCCACCGCGUCUAUCUGCAGGCACAGGCGCCGCAGAGUGAGGCCGCGGUCGUGAGUCAGGUACCGCCUUGGAAAGCAUCAUUUGAUGUGCACAUGCCCGUGCACGUAUGCUAUGAUGGUUGUGCGUCGCGCGCGCUACAAGCCCCUCAUCGCAACCAAGUUGACUGCAUAACCGCAUUCGCUCCCGAUGCAAUACCUCGUCCAUGAAAAUUACGGCGGGCGCGUUCGCCCUCGCCAGCUCAAACAGGGUUGACAGCAGCUUCUCACUCUCGCCCCGCCACUUGCUGGUCAGAGAGGCGGGGCUCACCUGUAGUGACAGGAUUGAGAAGCGCGUCGCCUUGUCAGCGUGUCCCUGCAUGCUGGCACCGCACCAUCUUAUUUUACCCCUCCCCCAAGCCUCGGCCCCAGCCUCAACCUCCAGCUGCCCGAUCCAGUCUGUCCCCAGCCACACAGCCCGCACAGCCCGCACAGCGCCCUCUGAGCUCCCCCCCCCCAGCUGCCUCGCAGUGCUGUCUCACCGCGAAGAAGGCUCCGCCCACCAUGCCCGCCACCGCUUUGGCCAGCAGCGUCUUGCCGGUGCCGGGCGGGCCGUGAAGCAGCACGCCGCGCCACGGCUCUCGAAUGCCUGCGCCGUGUGUAUGCGGGUGCGGGUGUGGAUGCGGGUGACCGGCAAAGCACAGCGCGACACCAUGUAAAGCUUGAUAGCAAUCGGUGUUAGCUGCAUUGCUUACCCGGCUGCCGCUUUGAAUCAGGCACGCAGAUUGAGCAAGCACGUGCUCACAGCCUACACCAUAUCAAGAAUGAUUUUAAGGCUAACAAUGCGAAGAACAACAAUGCGAAUUCGAGAAAGCCAGCGAGCACAACGUUGGAGAGGCCUGGAACCACACUAGCGGGGAACGUUUAACGCACCUGUGAAGAACUCGGGGAUGACGAGCGGCAACGCCACUGCCUCAUGCAGCAGCUGCUUGGCGGCCUCGCAGCCGGCAAUGUCAUCAAACGCCACGCCUGCAGCGCAAUCGUACAGGUGUGGCACUACUUUCCUUACUUGUGAUGGCACGCGGUUUGCCCGCUAUCCACCGCACCUGUGUCCCACGUGACAGCGUCUCGCAACACCGCCUCAGCCAGCGCUGGGUCCACCCCGGCCGGCACCAUCACAACGCCGCCGCCGCCGCCGCUUGCCGCCGGAACCGGGACCAACUGCCGCGGCGGCGGUCCCUGCCCACCGACCGGCGCUGCAGUGGGUGCAAUGGGCGCGGCUGCUGCCAUCACGCCGCUGCCUCCACCGUCGCCGUCGUGUGCACCUGCGGGCGGCCGUGGUGCUGACCGCCGGCCCCCAGGCCCAGACUGUUCCAGGCCUACUGGCAGCGCAACCAGUGCCUCCGCUGCUGACAGGGAACUGGAUGUAACCGCCGCAAUCGCCUCCAUUACAGGAUUCUGACCGCUGUGUGGGACUGUGGUAGUCCCAUAUGGCCCCAUGCUUCCAAUGCUGCCUAAAGCCACCGCAUCCGCCGCCGUCGUGAUGUUGGUCCUGCUGGUGCGGGUGGUGUUGCUGCUUGGCUGGAAGGUGGCCCCACGCCGGCGUGUAUCGGCCCGGAGGUAUUGACUGUGCUGCGUCGCCACCGCCGCCGCAGCUGCGUCAUUUCUCCUGUUGCGGAGGCUGCACUGAUGUUGCUGCACAGUUGCUAGCUGCGAGCGGGCGAUUGCUGCUACCGCUUGCGCAUGCGUUGUGGGGAAUCCGGCCGGUAAGCCUGCCCCGGCGGCAGCGGCCUGCGCGGUUGGCAGCACGUCAGCGACAUGUGAAGGCUUCAACAUGUAUGGAUUAGUAUUACUCGACUGUAUUCUCCGUGUGUCUUCACAACUCGCCGAUGCAAGGAGCACGUCAACGCGGGUCGGCGUCCGCAAGCAACUGCUCCCAUCCAGCACAUCGCACCAGUGCCCAACGGGCCCGGACACACGCCCGCAGCCUGCCUGCCUUGGCUGGUGCAAGCGCCCGGCACCCACCUGUUGCUACCGCCCAGGCUAGGGGCGGAAAUAGAGCUGGCUCCUCCCUCGCCACCCGCAACCGUUGCAGUGGUGGCGGGCCGAAUGCCGUCGCGCCGCAGCGAGUCGACACGGCCAUGCUUGGCGUGCAGGUGGUAGCUACUGCCGCUCAGGCCGCCACCGCCGCCACUGCCACCACCGCCUCUAUUGCUACUGCUGACUGCGUGGGACCGGGUGGCAGGGCUGUAGCUGCUAGGGAGCUGCCGGUAGGCGCCGACGGGCCCCGCCAGCCUGCUUGCAAAGUUAGCACCUUCUUUCCCGAGGCUCUGGUGGAGUCGGUUUAGCAUGAGGAUGGCUUGUGUUACGGCACCCGGGCAGCCAGGAUAUGCACAGGUGGCCAGGCGGGAUAACUACAUGAAGUGUGCAUGCUGGCAGGAUACCGUACUACAACCUCGAAGGCACUGCGCCGUUGGAGGAAGGCUAGCUGGCGGGCGCGACCGCAAACUCUCCUACCUGUCCAGCACUGCUGCGACCACCGGCUACAGAGUAUCCUUGGGCCCGAGCCGUCUGAUAGGACGCGUAGAUGGCCUGCAGGCGGGGCAUGGCAGAGGGAUGUGCGUGCGAGGUCGUCACCUGACGGCACGAACGCUUCACUGCACGAAGACUUCGUCCUGUCGACACUGGAUUUGAGACGGCUCCAAUUCCAUUAGUGUCCUGCCCAUCUUCACGGCGAGCCCAGGUCACACUGCGGAAUGGUCCCAGGAAUGGUCCGGAAGCAUUUGCAGAGCCCUCGCGCCGCGAGCCCUUACCCGCUGCAGCUGCGGGUCAUCCAUCACAUAGUUAUAUCGCAGCCAGCCGUCAUGUGAUGCGGGUCACGUUUGGGCAACUUAUCAGUCGCUAAUUCUGUUUUCUCGUUUGCGAGCGAUUUCCUGGCUAUUACUCGUCGUUAGUUUCCUAUCAGAAGAAAAGCGGUCCACAUACUGUAUAAGGUUUUCGAUAUGGAGCUGUUAGAUGAAUUGGGCGAGCAGAGGUAACCCUCCCGUGGGCGCCCCAACCCUAGUCGCGCCCGUGUCACUGACCCACUGCCUUCCCUGCUAUGUUGCUGUGCCAGACUCAUUGCAGGUGGCCCUCCUCAAGCCCAACGACUCCAGUUUCAAGAUUGGUUGCAUUACAGCUGGGGCUCGGAGGCAGGCCCACCCGUCCAUCCUCACCUGUUUCCGCACAAGCAAGCGCUCUGCUUCAAGGGCUUACAGCCUUUCAUCAUCCUGCGUACCGCCGUAUCGACUCAGCACGUCUACCGCAUGCACCCUCCUGUCUAUUAUGAACGUGCGCAUCACCGGAGUCGCUGUCCGCACCUCGAACACACGGACCCCAGACAAUCAUCUCGACGCCUAGUACCUGCACGGCACUAAGUUGCCGACGUUCGUGCGUCUGGCAACACUUGAUCUGUAUUCGCUCCACACGCCCCGGCACCAAAGGUUCGGGGCCCGAACAAAGCAGCAUCUCGGCACGAGAUGCCCACCUUUCUCUCAUUCAUUUGUCUGUUAGCUCUGCCCUGUCCUCCCCACACGCAGCGCUUUCCUACUCUGGUAAUCAGCACGCUCAGACAUCGAAGCUUAUCUGCAUCAUCUGCACAUGUACCACACACACGAACACACGUAGUCAAAGGAACACGCGUUGGUCAUACACGCCACCCGCAUCACAGGCACCAUGCCCGGUACCACGUCAACAACAGCUCAAAGUGCACAAAGCGGGCGCGAGUCCUUGGCCGGCGAGUACACACCGCAUCGGCACAUCCACCAGCCCAAUUUACCUCCUGCACCAAGCAACGGUCAGAUGCGAACCCUGCUGCCGCGGGCAAUGCGGGCCCCUCGCCAUGAGCAGCAUGGCGACCACCCUCGGGCCAACACCCACACCUCCAGCCUCCGGACGCGUCACCGCGUUAAAGCGAUCCAGACACGUCCAGCUGAGCGCUUGCACGGAGCAACGCCACAGCCUCCUGCUACUCACGGCGGCCAGGUCGUUCACACGGCGCUCCCCUAGGCUGCUGCUGCUGAUCCCAACCAGGCAAAAGAGCUGGUCCAAUAAGUUCCCAGCUCCAUAGCAGCGCCCGUUGCUGCUCAGGUACCGGCGGCAGCAAAUGUUAAGCCGCUAGCUGACGCCGGAACCUGGCUCCGCUUACGUGCCGUCCGCCACUGCCACGGCUACCCCUAGCCGCCGUGCUCCUGCCAGCCCGUGCCCAUCGAGGAGCAGCGGCUGCUACAACCGCCGCGGGCAGCGCCGCUCCACGCCGCAAUGACGCCGCUGCCAGGCCCUCCGCCGCACCCUUCCAGCCCAAACCCAGGUAACCCUUAUCACCCUUGCCAACGAGCCCAGCCGCUGCAGCAUGCUCUCCGAGCAGCUCUCCGGCUUCUGCCAGCUUCCGCUGCGGCUUCUGCUUCUGCCGCCGCUGCUGGUCGCGGUGCGCCGGCCAGCAGGCUGCGGCACGCCCUCCCGCCAUGCUAACUAGCCCAAACCCAAGCCCAGGUCUUAGCUCAAGCUCUACGCCUAGAGCUUGAACUUGGUCUUGAUGGCGUCCAUCACAGCGCCCAGGUCCUCGCGGACCUGCACCGGCGGGUUGGCGAACUGGCAUGUCAUGCCCGGCACCUGCUUGCUGUGGUACGCCACCUUGCUCUGCGUGAACUUCAGCCCGUGCGCCGUCGACACCACGACCGUGCGGUCGUUGGGGCCGAUGACCUGGCGUUCCCGCAGCUUGGUGAGCGCCGCCAGCGCCACGCCGGUGUGUGGGCAGUUGAACAUGCCGGUGCGGUCAGCGCGCGCGGCGGCGUCCAUCAGCUCCUCCUCGCUGGCCUCCUCCACGAUGCCGUUCGUGUCCUUGAGCGCCAUGAUGGCGCGGUCGAUGGACACGGGGUCGCCGAUCUGGAUGGCGCUGGCGAAGGUCAUCUUGGCCUUCAUGGGCUCGUACGACUCCUUGAUGGCGGCGUUGGAGCCCUGGGCCUUGGAGAAGGCCUGGUACAGCGGGUUGGCGUUCUGCGCCUGCGCGCACACCAGGCGCGGCAUCUUGUCCACCAGGCCCAGCUCCUUGCACAUCUUGAAGCCCUUGUAAAAGGCGUAGAUGUUGCCCAGGUUGCCGCCGGGGAUGAUGACCCAGUCGGGCACCUGCCAGUCGAACUGCUGCAGGAUCUCGAUGGCGGCGGUCUUCUGGCCCUCCAGGCGCAGCGAGUUCAUGCUGUUGGCGAGGUAGAUGGGCGUCUCGGCGGUCACCUGCUUGAUUAGGCGCAUGCAGCCGUCGAAGUCGGUGUCGAUGGACAGCACCAGCGCACCGUUGGCGAUGGGCUGCACCAGCUGCGCCAGCGAAAUCUUGUCCGCGGGCAGGAACACGAUGGAGGGGAUGCCGGCGGCCGCGCAGUAGGCGGACAGGGCGGCAGAGGUGUCGCCGGUGGAGGCGCAGCCCACGGCAGUGAUGCUGCCGGGCUUCAGCUUGCGGAUGCGGUUCACCUGAGAGACCAGCACGGUCAUGCCCAGGUCCUUGAAAGAGCCCGUGUGGCUGUUGCCGCACUGCUUCACCCACAGGUCGGUCAUGCCCAGUGCCUCCCGGCCGAAGCGCUCCGCCCAGAACAGGUUGCUGUUGCCCUCAAACAUGGACACAAUGUCGUCGUCCGACAGGCCCUGGAGUUAAAGAGGUUGAGGAAGAGGGGAGGGGAGCGGAAGGUGAGGCCUCGUGGCGUGCUGGGUGCUGGAAAGCGGAGAGCGGAAACGGGUGCGGGAGAGGUGUGGCAUGCAGCUCGCGGCCCCAUGCGGUACCCCCCUCCUGCACGUCACGCGCGAGCUGCUGGGCAUCUGGAUACCCAGUGUGCCCUCCACCCCACAGGUGUGAUUGGGUUGCUAGUCAGCCCGCGCUGUUGACCCCCGCACGACCCAGGCAGUUGGCACAACACCGGGACCCCCCUUAGCACCCCCCAGAUCUGGUGCAGCCCAGGCUAUUUGGGCAGAUUGCCAGCUACAAUUUUGGCUAAUAGCCUAGCGCGGACGGCUGCGCUGCGCAGGCGCGAUGUCUGUGAUGUGCAUGUGGCCGCUGCCGUCCGACCCAACUCGCCACGAGCUCCAAACCACGGAAAUUUAUUGAUGCAUGGCCAGCCCUAGAGAUCCGGGCGUGUGCGCGAGCUCACCGGCAGAACCCACUCCUUCUUGCUCCACACGCCCGAGCCAAAGGGCCAAGCGGUCGUGCCCACGCGAGCAUCAAACAGCGCACGCCAGUAGUCUGGGCCAUACUGUGCCAGGGCCUUCAUGUCAUGGUGCACGUCCAGCAGGCCGCCGUCCCGCGAUCGGUAGACGAUGUCGUCCAGGGAGUAAGUCUCUGGGGACAUCUUGUUGCUUUGAACAUCCGCGAAGGGAACGAACUUGGCGUUGAAGGUAUGCGCCUUGUCCAGGGGCACUGCGUGCACGAGGAAAAAGGGCAUGGCCUCAGCCUCGCGCCGACGUGACCGAACCCACCCUGGUCUGCGAAAUCAGGUGCUGCUGCUGAUAAAUUGCAUGGCAUAAACGCGGCCUGACCCGCGAUUCCGCCGAAAGCAGCUGGCUAACGUGCACGAAAUGCCGGCGGGGCAACCCACCACGCAGCGCAGCCUCCUUGCGAAUGUCCGAGUGCGCCGCAAAUACACGCUGGACGUUGCGGCUGGCCUUCAUGGCCCGGGAGGCGCCUAGCUUCUGCUGCACUUGCAUGGUUGCGCUGUUCAGGAAAAUAGGCGCAGCGCGCAAUGCAGACGUUGCCACCGUCCUCUAAUGCCUAUAUCGAACGUUUCUGGGUAUGAGUAUGGUCUCUGGAGUGCGACGGGCAUGGGAUCGUGCAAAAACUCGUUCUUCCCCAUGCACGGGAUGAUUCCGACCCUUUCCGACUCACUCCGUUCACUCGCGAGGCACCGCAAGCACGACGCGCAAGAUUGUAACCAAAACAUGUGUACUGCUGAUGCAGAGUCCCAAGGAUGUGAGGGUAUCCUGUAAUCCUUAAGAAGACCAGCUAGACUCAGGGUGGGCGUGCAGCGUGUAUCGCGUGUCAGGGCGUGUCGCGCCCUAUCGCGUCAGUGGUCAGCGUGUCAGUGGGCAGGCCAAGAAGCAUAGACGCAUGCCAGGCGAAUGCAACGAUCAUACAUGUACAGUGCAGUAGGAUGCCAGGGCAUUCAUGAGCCGAUUAGGGCUAGACGGCUAGUACAUGGCGUCCCUCCCAAGGUGCCUCUGCUGUGACGCCCGGCCUUGCCGUGCGGGCCUGGAGGGCCACUUGGCGAUCCCAAGUUAUGGUCCCGUACACAGCAGGUGUUACAUUGGCGGGGGCAUUGCUGUGCUUGCCCCAUCGCCAUUCGGCGGCCGGUUGGUUUCGAGCUCUCGACCCAACUCUGUGAGGCCAACAGUCCACAACCCGCUCUUGACGAGAGGUGACCGGUGCGUGAAACAACCGGCUGCAACACGGCUACCCAACCUCAGGUGCAUAAGUGCAUUUCCUCCUACUUACCUCGGCGUGCCUAGCCCAAAAACGCAACACUUGCGAGUCAGCCAAAGAACUUACGCAUCCACACAUUAAACUGCAAUCUACGCGCAUGUGACAAGGAACUCCUCCACAGCUAUUGUUCUUCUCUUGUUGCGAGUCCUUGGGACUGUCAAACCAAAACUGCAGGUUCGGGUUUGAAUAAUCACACACAUGCACGUUGAAGCGGCGUUCCCCUUUGCAUGCUGACCAGACGCCUGCUUCAAAAAGCCCAACCUCUGUCACCUUGCCGCAUGCAUGGAAAACCGGCGCAGUGGGCCAGGGAAUGGACCCCUAGCGCUCAGAUAAGCUCGCUCUCUGCUCUCCACCAGGAUACAGCAACAAUUGCGCAACAAAACACGACACCAACAAAGGCCGCUCAUGGGAAAGCUCUCAUCCUAACCCAGCACGACAGACAUAAGCCAGGGAUGCCCCUGCGUGGCUGCACCCAGCCAGUCAGCAAGGCGGGAGGCAUAGGGUUCUGCAUUACAGCAGGAGCAGUAGCGCAACAGCGGCAAAAAAGGAGCAAUGCAACCGUGAUCCGGAUGACCUGCCGUGGCAACACGCCGUAGCCUCAUACCACUUCACAUGGCUUAAUUGCGGUAGAAACCCCAUGCGCCGCUGCUGGCUCGCCACGUUUCCGCACACCUUCCGCAGCUACGCUGCUUCUCGAAUUGCUAAGCUGUUACGAAUACUGCUUCAUGAAGUCCUUGUGGAACUUGUCGAACUUCUCCACGAAGUGCGUCAUCACCUCCUCGCGAGGCAGAAUGGUGGUGCGCAGGUGGAAGGUGCCCUCCUCCUGCAAAGCAGAACAGAAACCAAGAAGGAGCGGCAGGGUUAAGCAUGGUAAUAGCUUCGUGGCAUCGUGGUUCCCAGCGCGGUUGUUACCCCAACGCCCAGCACCCCACUUCCAGACAUGCCUGCUUGGCAUCUGAAACCGCAUGACCCCCGCUCGCAGCGGCACAUACCCCCGUGCACGCACCUGGCCGAAGCCGCUGCCGGGCACGGUGGAGAUGCCGGUGGCCUCCAGAAGUUUGAGGCAGUAGAACACGUCGCCCGCCUUUCCGGCGGCCUUGGCGGCCUCCAGCGCCUUGGCCGGCAGCUUAAUCUGGGGGAAGCUGCGGGCGGCAGAAAAGGACGCGGACGCGGGAGCGCGAGGAGGGAGGGAUAAGAGCACGCGAAGAACUGCGCCCUAAAAUCACCCUACCAGUCCGUCUUGCAUGUGCAGCUACCCCCCUCCCGCCUCUCGCCUGCUGUUGGUCAUGACGGCUGCCUCUUGUCCCUGCCCACCUGUACAUGGCGCCCUCGGUGAAGUUGCAGGUGACGCCGUCCAGCGCGUUGAAGCCGUCCGUCACCAUGUGCGCGCGGCGGCGCAGCGACACCAGCUCCGAGGCCUUCUCCUUGGUGUACUGGUCGUAAGAGGGAUCGCCUGGGAUAUGGUGCAGGGGAUAGGAACGCAGAGUUUACGAGCCUGAGACGCACAUACUACUCGAGGGACAAGGGAAGCACUGAAACUACCGCCCCUCGGUGGCCCGUGUUGUAGCACACACGACACUUGCCCGCGGCCCCGCUGGCGUCCCCGCUGCUCACCGGGCUUGGGCGGGUUGACGAGCACGGACAGCGCGAUCUGGCCCAUGGUGUUGGGCGACAGGUUAAUGGAGGCGCACUUGUACACCUCCUCAAUGGCGCCGGGGUGGAUGUUAGUCAUCUCCACGUAGCCGCCGCGCAGGCCGCACUCGCCGGCAGUGCCCUGUUCGCAACGGCCGUGUGGGUGCGUGCGUGCAGCGAGUCAGGGUGAGGGCCGGACACAAACGGGUCCUAGCCAAGGCGUUUCGCAACCCGCGUAGUCGCUGCGUUCCUUUCAUCCCAUGGUUCCGCAGUGUAUCCCCCCAAAGCCCCAGCACGCGGGCACAACGCCCACCGUGCCAACCCGCCCCACUGCAUGGGCCCUCUUGCCGCGCCCUUUCCGGCGUCUCCGCUUCCCGCGCAUUCUCAACCCUCCCUGGCCCCAGUCCGUGUGAUGAAGCGCCACAUUGCCCUCGGCUGAGCCCCUCCUCCGCAAGACCCAGCCCGGCCCCUGGCACCCGCGCACCUUGGACACGGUGUGGAAGGACAGCAGCUCCACGUGGCUGCGGUAGGGCUCGCCCAUCUCCCACAUCACCUUCUUGGCGCUCACAAACGGCCGCUCAUCCUGGUACACGUUCUCCUGCGGACAUUAACGUGCGGCGCAAACUUGUUUGCGAAGCAAUACGCAGGGGUUCACGCGGCGUGAGCUCGGCUGCAGGUGCUACGGUGCGAGUAUGUGGGGUUGAGCUCUACGCCCUCAACGCAGACAACCACCCACGUUGCGUCCCACACUCAUGAAGCCGUGCAGCUAUGGUGGCAGCACGGCCACGACCCCCGAGUCGCUGCGCACCCAGUCGGGUAGCACCCAAGCCCCCAGCCGCUGCGCGCGCUGUCUGCCCCCCGAUGACGCACCUGGUACACCUCAUCCGCCAUGAGCACAAUCUUCUCCUGGUACGCAAACUUGAUCAGCUCCUGCAGGUUCUCCUUGCUCAAGCACUGGCCUGCGCGGCAAAAAGCGUCGCAAGCGGGUGUCUAGGACAAGGCGUUUCGCGCACUUUCGAGACCUCCGCUGGCCCAUACCGUCCCUUCUCGUAAUGUCGCAUGUACCACCGUCACGUGCUAGAUGCCAGAGAAGUGUCAGUUUGCAUUAAAGCCUGCGCUCUGCAAACGUAUGCUGUGACUUGACUGGCGCAACAAAUUCAAUAUAGUCCUUGGUCAAGACAACCAUGCUGAAACACGCCGGCUUGCGCAUUGAAUGCCCGGUUUCUCCCCCUACCCCUGACUGCCAUGUCGUGAAUUUACAUUUCAACGGCGAUGUGGGACUAUUCAGUCACUGUGCUCGUACCCCUACUGAUCCACUACUGGGUAUGCCAUAAGCAAAGUUUGCCCGCAGCCCCACGUUCCCCUGCAUAACACCCCUUGGCCCUUCUUUCCUUCCGGGCCCCAAACCCGCUGUUUUGCCGCUUCUCUUGCCUCCCGCAUGCUCACCGGUGGGGUUACCGGGGUUGAUAAACACCAGGCCGCGCACCAGCUUGCCCUCCUCGCGCGCCUCCUGCAGCGCGCGCUGCAGCUCCUCCACGGACAGGCCCCAGCCGCGGCGCUCAUCCAGGAAGUAGCCCACCAGCGUGCCGCCUGGGGUGUAAGCGGUCAUUACGGUUGCAGAUGAGCAAGGGCUUCAAUUAGGCAUUCGUUUGACUGGCGGAUGCGCGGACAUGCCACUUUUGUGGCGUAUUGCAGCGCCCCGCAGACCAUUUGACGCCACACACGUUUACUAUGGCUGAUAGAACGCACGCCACAGGCUAGUCAUGCUAUCACCCAGCCCAACCAGCACGUGCACCCCGUCCUGUAUGCCCUUCCAGUCACACACUCACCGUACAGGCGGAUGGAGGCGCUGUACAGCGGGUACUGCGGGAUGGGCACCAGCACGGAGUCGCGGUCGUGGCGGAUCAUGGCGUUCAGGCACAAGCGCACGGCCACCGAGGCGCCGUCCGUCAGGAAGAUGUGCUGCGGGGGAAGAUCAGGACAAAAUGAGGCAGAGUUAGGCCGGUCACUCCAAUGGCAGGCGGUGUAUUGUAGACACGCUGAAUCAAAUAGGUCAACGCCGUGCCCAAGCGGCUGAUGAAUGUGCCCAACCGAGAGUGGGCUGUAAUGCUGCCCAAACUGGCCCUACCGCGCACCUCGCAUACCCUGCACAACUCCCUCUUCAAGGCACACAUACAGUCUCACUCACGUCGGGGUUCGAGGGAACGCCGUCACGCUUCUCGAUGAAGCGGGCCACCUCCUCGCGCACCAGCGGGUUGCCACGCGAGUCGGUGUAGGCGCCCACACCGCCCUGCACAACAGCGGGUGGUAGGCACGAGUAGGGACACAUGCUCAAUGAGUGGUUGGGGAAGAAAGAAACAGGAAGAAGCAGAAGCACCGCGGCCAUCCCGUCAGGAGGCACAGGCCCGCAGAGAUGUCGCGCAAUAUCUAUUCUGCUUGCCACCCUGCUUGUGUUGGAGAGGAUUGAGGACCCACCUUGAAGGAGGCUAGGAUCUUCUUGGCACGCGCGAUGGCGUCGGCGGGGAACAUGUCCUCCACCUUGGGGUGAUCCAGCAGGAAGGGCGCGGCGCACAGGGCUAGCACCUGUGCAUACCAGCGGGUGCAUCCCGGGGUUUGUCAGUGAGGAACGGUAUCUCAAAGUGGAGCUAGGGCAGACAGGAAUGGUAGGCAGCUGGCACGGAUGCUGGGUGAGCUGGGUCGCAUGUGGUGUGCAUGCUCAGGGACACGCGUUGUGCGGGCGCUCUGGCGUGGCCCGCUGCUGACCAAUCAUGCGGAGUUGUAGCUUGCGACGCAACUGCACGCACAACUCGAGUCCCAACUGCUGCGCACGGUUUGCCCAGUGAGCGUAGACAGUGCGAGGAAAGAUUGCAGGCUUCGAAGGGUGUGCACUAGCAUACUAUUCCCCCUAACAGCGUCACUUGCCUGACGGGUGAAGGUCAGGGGCUUGGCACCCAGCGCGUGCGGGUUUCCGACUGCGCAAGCAAACAUAGGCGGCACACAGUCAAGACGUCAGAAGUUGUGAGCAGGCAUAGCAUGCAACAAACACUAGCGUGCAAAGUUAUGUGAGGUUUGUUGGGUCAGCGCACCGUUUGUGAAAAUGAUCUCCUUGCCCUCCUUGCGGAGCUGCUCAGCGCGCAGGUAAAGCUCGCCACGGACGGCAUACUGAGUCUUCACCACGUUCUCGUUCAGAAGGUGAGGGUGCAGCACCUUGCCCUCCUUGGCAUGCAGGUCCUCGUCCUUCUUCUCAUCAGGCUGGGGCAUCGCCGACUUGAGGCGAGUGCCACCAACAGCCCACGACGUAGACACGCCAUUGUUGCCCGCCCGCAGCAGGGCGGACACAAGACGAGUCGCUUCCUUCCGCAUUUGCACAAUCAGAGUCUUCUGGUUUGAAAUGCUGUAAAACUGCCAAGCGUUUCACAAACUCUAACCGAGACUGGGUGAUAACGCGAGAAAUGGCGCGAGUCUGCAGGCAAGUUCUACCACGCCAUGGUAAUGACGCUGGAUCUAGCUGGAAAAAGCCUGUGCAAAGCUCCGUUUCAGCAGUCACUACAUACAUGGAUUUUCCAGUCCAUCAUUAAAUGGACAGGAGGGAGGGCUGAGGUGGACAGCGGGGCUCAACGACUUUAUCCAUGCCCACAUGUCUACAGUAAACGAGCUGGAGGCUUCCAGCACUUGGAUAUUCGGCUAUGGCUCGCUGGUUCAUACACCUAACUUUGACCACACGGCCAAAGUUGUUGGCUGGGUCAGGGGCUGGAAACGUGUAUUUUGGCAGGUGCGCGUGUCAACUAGGUCUAGCUGAUGACGCUGGCACAGGACUCGUGCUUGGCAGCGCCUGGGCUCAGCGAUGUAGACAAGUUUUAGUACUGUGUGCCCGUGUGAGCUUAGUCGGAAGGCAUAUGGGGCAUGAGCGGGUGCAUGCAGCUGCGCUGCACGGCAGCUGGGGUUGCACAGUUGCCCACAGGUCGUGGCACUGGAAAGGGUCGCACCAGGUUGCUUGGGAAGGGGCUUGCACAGGGCAUGUAUGGAUGCUGCCGGCCUCACAGGUGGUACCAAUCGUGCCCCUUGCCUCCCAUAUACAAUAGGGCUCGACCGAUCACCGCGGCACGCCGCAGCGACCCGGGCGCACCGUGACGCUGACGGAGGAGCCGGGCGCGGUGACGUGGGGCGCCGCCUUCAGGCUUGCGGGGCCGCCACAGGAGCAGGCAGCCACACUAGCAUAUCUGGAGUGGCGGGAAAAGCAGUACGAUGUACGGCAUUAUGUGGACGUGUACGGCGCGGACGGUCAGGUGCGGCGGCAGUUGGUGGCGGUUGGCGGGCCGCCCGACUGCGAGCCUGCGAGGGGUGCUCUGAGUUCUGGUGUGUAGGGGAUCGGAAGCAUGUGUGCGGCGGGCGCACGAUAGCGUAGAGGGGAGCGCGGCAUUAGAGGUCAUGGGGCAAGCGGGCAGGUGCGUUGGGAACAAGACAGCAUCUGUGGGCGGGCGAGGAACUGGCCGCCUCGUACCAAUGUCGGCACGGCAGGCCAGGGGCGCAGCCGGUGGGUGUGCGUAUGGGGCCCUGUGUACAUCCCGCGCAUCAGUGACAUCAUAGUUCUACAACAAUACCAAAAUACAACACCCUGUGUCGCGCCCUCCUGUGUCGUACCCCCGCAUGCAGCUGCUGGUGAAGGGCGCUCUGGUCUACAUUGCCAGCCCCGCCAACUCCAACUAUCUGGGCCCCGCGCCACUGCCCGCGAUCGCCACGCAGAUCGCCACCAGCCGCGGCCCGUCGGGGCCGAACUGCGAGUACCUGUUCAGGUGCGAGGGUUCGCGUGGGCUGUAGCGUGCUGCUGUGUGCAUACGGGAUGUCUGGAUGAAGGGGCUAAGGGAUGACAGGCGACAGGGUUCGGACGUGGGUGCAGUGCCGCUAGCACCCGGAGCACCUGCAUGUGGGGCUGGGUUGGUUGGGGACACAACCGGCGCCGGCCCCCAGCCUCCGCAGUGGCAUGAUGGCUCUCAAGGUCACUGCUUGUGUCACACGUGCAGGCUGGCGGACGCGAUGCGUGCGGCGGGCGUGCAUGACGACUCGGAGCUGUACGAACUGGAGGCGCUGGUACGACAGCAGCUGCUGGAGAUCAGUGCGCAACAGGGUGGGGAAGGGCAGGGGCAGGGGCAGGGGCAGGGGCAAGGAUUGCCACAGCAGGUGGAGCUGGCCUCGGCCGAGGGCCAGGGGGUGCCGGGGGCAGAGGCGGUGCAGGUGGUGGAGGAAGAGCACCAUGUGGAGUUCCGGAGGUGGCACCAGCGCGCACAGCAGCAGCUGCAAGGGCAAGCGCAGCAACAAAUGCAAGAGCAGCAGCAAGGGCAACCUCAGGAUGGGAGCGAUUCUCCGGCGCGGCCGCAGCAGGAGCCCGUCGCAGCGCGUGCAUAUGGGGCUGCCGAUGGGGUAUCUGACGCAUACAAGGCCAUGCGGCGCGAGUAUGUGGCUGCAGGGGCAGAUGUGCGGGGCAGUGUGAUGCAUGUUAUUGCGCUGAGUGGUGAAGCGGCGAUGACAGCGGCGGGACAGGAGGAGCAAGAGUUCGGGUAAGGGAAGGCGGUGUGCCCCCUUCAGACCCGUUGUGAGCGAUAGGAUGCGGCAGAGAGAAGGAUGCAGUGCAGCGCGGAGGAGGUUAGCAAGUAUGCGUCCCAGGCAAUUCUCUCAGACCCGCGUGUUGGGCUGUCCCAUCUGGUAACCUCACAUUCUCACGUGCUCCUCCCGGUCCAUCCGGCUUGCCGUUGAUUGGAUGGUAGGGACAUCUACGGUAAGUGAGUGUGCGAUGGGACCGUGGUAAGGCAGGUUGGUAAAGUCCCGUAGGGUGCAGCUGAUUCCCAGAACCCAACAGAUGGCACACAAUUGGCAACGGCAGGGCAGGAGUGCGCGGCUGGUCGAACGCCGGAGUUACUGUACCGACGAGUUGCUGGCUGGCUGGAAGUUUGCUGACGCGCAUUCCUCACGCUCCGGGCGCCCGGCCAGGCGAUAGCACCACACAGACACACCGCAACGCUACACUCGCGAGGCAGAGCCGCAUCGCACGCCUGCAGGAAGGUGACCAGCGUCCACGAUGAGUAGGCAACCGCAGAGAAAAUGCAAACGGAAUGCAGCAAAGCAAUGGCCGGGCGACAGUGUGGCAAGAGGCGAGGCAAGGCAGAAGAGGGCGCCCGAAUGUACGGAUGAGUGGCGUCGAACUCAGCGGCGGGGGCGGCGGGGGCGGCGGGGGCGGCGGGGGCGGCAGGCUGCUCUGCGGCGGGGGUGGAGGGGGGCCCCGCGGUAAGUGAGGUAGGGUUGAGGAUAGGGUGUGCGAUCGUGAUGGAACAUGGCAAGGGGCAGGAAAGCGUAGUCCCGAUGUGUGUGGCUCCCACCCGUGCCCACAUAAAUGCGUAGCAAGAAGGGACAAGGCAUUGGUGCGUUGUUCGCGCGCUGUUACUGUACCGACGGUAGCUGGCAGGUUGUGUCGAUGUUUCGAGGAUAGGGUGUGCGAUUGGACAGGGUUAAGGGCUUAAGGCAGGUUCGCGAGGUCCCGUAGGGUGCAGCUGACGCCCAUACCCCAAGCAUGCAGCGAAUCGUUGACUGUCAAGAUCUCCCUAUGGCCCAGCACAUACCAGCCCCCAGCGCUUCGCCUCACUGCCCGCCCGUGCUCCCCGUCCCUGUCGCUUGAUUCUUGAGCUCAUGAAGAGGAUUACAUGUCAAGAAUGCUGUACAGCUCAACCACCCAUUCAUGACAUGCGAUGCGUGAUCACACCGCCACUCAGUUUCCCUGCAGGCCGGCAGCGCCGGCGUCGCGGCCGGCUGCGUCCCCGCCUUUCUGCGCAGACGCUUCUCCUCUCGUGCCUGGUCGCGCCCUUUGCGCCUGCCCUUACUUGCCUCAGGUUUCACCACUCACCCACCAACACACCAGUAGCGUCCACAUCAUCAACACUAAACCCAUCAGUUGUCACCACUCCAAAAUCUGCCAACCCAGCAUGGAAGGCGGCGGCACCCGGGUUCUGGCCAGCGACAGAGCCCAUGCACAGACCACGAUUGCCAUCCACACCACGCUGCGUUGCGCAAAGUAAAGGCCAGCCGCCGGCGACUGCGAGCAGGACACAUCAGCCUCUCCCAGCCGCCAAGGCGUACAUGGCGCCAAACAACCCGACGUGCGCCAGAGCCACAUUCGGGGGCUCCCGCGUCGGGGGCCGCCGCCAAUGCUUUUUAACACACCGCGGUCUUCAGUGUAC